rnacentral:lncRNA from 1 species
UGUAAAAGGUGGUGAGUUGGGGUCAAUUGGAAAGACACCUGGAGCACUUGGAGUGCCUGGAUAAAUGAUAGGUGUAGUGGGGGUGGUAGGAGUCGGGGAGUAACCACCCCCUGGAGUGCUUGGAGUUCCGGGGUCAAUGGUAGGAGUAGGUGGUGUUUCAAUGAUUGGAGUAGUUGGGGUAGUAGGUGUAGGGGAAGGAUAGUAACCACCACCCCCUGGAGUGCUUGGAGUACCAGGGUCAACGGUAGGCGUAGGUGGUGUUUCAAUGGUAGGUGUAGAGGGGGUGGUAGGUGUAGGUGUAGGCGAAGGAUAGUAGCCACCACCACCUGGAGUGCUUGGAGUUCCGGGGUCAGCGGUAGGAGUAGGUGGUGUUUCAAUAGUAGGUGCGGAGGGAGUGGAUGGUGUACUAGGGGUACUAGGUGUAGGAGUACUUGGAGUCGGGGAAGGAUAGUAGCCACUUCCACCCCCUGGAGUACUUGGAGUGCCAGGGUCUGGAGUUGGGGUUACAACAGGUGUAGAGGGGGUGGAUGGUGUACUAGGGGUACUAGGUGUUGGAGUACUAGGAGGGCUUCCUCCACCAUGAUGAGCUGGUGGAGAGGGAGAAUAACCACCACCUCCAUGACCGCCUGAUGGAGGAGAUGGGGUAGGGUUAUGGUGAUGAUGAUGCCCUCCACUAGGGGGAGUCGGGUUACCACAGUUACCACCUGGUGGGUUUCCUCCAUGACCACCGCUUCCAUGCGAAGGUGUUCCAUGACCACCUCUUGAACCAUGAGAUGGAGGUGUGUAUGAACCUGUCAAUCAUAAAAAUAUACUAUGAGUGCAAAAUGCUUAUAUAUAAAAGAGGAUUGGAUUUAUAUACAUUGACAAUAGCGCAAAGAACUUUUAUACUGUCCGUAGGUUUUAACUUGUUUAUAGCAUGUAAUAUGUCUUAUUUUCAUGUUAUGGCAUACUGUCCAUAUGUUUUACUGAACUACUAGUAUAUAAUUUAUUUUACUGUAUCAAAGCAUAGAAGUUAGUUGAAACAAUCUGUGAAGUAAAGCUCACGUCUCCAAAUUGCUUUGUUUCUUAAUUUGGUCUCCUUGCCAGUAAUAAUUUUUGCUACUUCCAGCAAUAUUAGCCGACAUUUGGCUCAUAAAGUGUUUAAACAAAUCAUUUUAGCUUUUGCCAAGACUUUAAAGUAGUUAGUAACAAGAAUUCCAUCAUGAAACCAAAAACAACAUAAGUUGUGCGAACUCUGCACUUUCAAUGACACACCCGUAUCGGAUUCUUCAAACAUACACUAUUUUUGAAGAAUCCGACACACACCUAUUGAUAUUUUGAAGAGUACCAGCAACAUAAAAAAAUAACAUAUAGGAUGGAGAUGUGAGGAAAGAAGUUAAAGACCUGAACUUGGAGGAGUUCCGGUAUUCGGAUCAGGAGAGUAAUAGGUCUUUUGUUCUCCAAAAGAAGCUCUAGACAUAACAGGAAUAACGAAGUUUUGUGUGAGCAAUGCACAAACAACAGCCCACAAAAUUACAGAUUUUUGCUUCCCCAUCUUUGUUUGCUUCCAAAGACAAAAAAAUGCAGGGUGAAUAAACAGUGAGAGCAAGGAAGAGUUCAGUGAUGUGAAGUGACGAAACAAAGGAGCUGCAUAUUAUAAAGGGCUAAUGACAGUGAGAGAAGUAAAUAUACGCAGGUAAAGAGUAUGCGGUUAGUUGUGUAUGCUGCAGGUGCAUUUAAGGUGUCAUUUAAAUCUCACUACUGUGCUGUAAGUAAUUACAUGGAGGAAGUCCCUCCAUAACUUUAGGCAAGUUCAAAAUAUGUUCCAUGCCUAUAGUUAGUGGAACUGUGAAAACUCAAAAUCAACACUCACUGGCUAGAAACAACUCCCUUUGGAUACACUGCACGUAAUAUUUAAUGGUGUAUUGGUGAUAUUUCCCCAUGUUACACUACUUAUGAGUGCGACUACUAAAACCUUUUAACGUGAUACAAUUUAGGGUGCCCGUGCAGUACUUAUGUGUGUGACUAUAAAACCCCCUCUAUUUAAGAGUAUUAAAUAUUCUUUUUCAUUUAUUGUUCCUGUUAUGUAAUAUUGGUUUAAAUUAACUAUUGAACUUGUUUCAUAGCUUGUUCUUUUUGAUGAACUUGAUGAUUCUGGUUUUUUAUAAGCUAUUCUUUUUGUUGUACUUAUUCUAUCAUUUAUUAUUUCUAAAUCUUCUUCUAUGUCUAUAUUUCUGUAACUAUAAUCAUUAAUAUCAAUUGUUUUUACGAAUUGUUCAAAAGGACUUUCUAUUUGUAUUUUAUUAAUUUUAUUUUUUCCUAUUAUUUUAUGUUUUGUUGUUAAUACAUAUAGAUUUUUAGAUCUUGCUGUAAAUAUUUUACUUCCUGGGGUUAGUUCUAUUCCUGAUAUUUUCCAAUAUAAUACUAAUGAUUUAUCUAUAUUCUUAUCUGUUAUUGCUACUGAAUAAUUCGCAUUUAUUAUAAAUUAAAAUUUUUGGUAUAUUAAAUUUCCUUUUAUGACAGUUAUUAUACUUUUUUCUAUAGGUUUUAUAAUUCUAUCAUCUGCUAAAUAUAAUUCUAUUGGUGUGUUCCUACUAUAUAUAUUUUUUAUUGUUGGUAUUUUAAAUAUUUUUUCUACACUUAAGUCUAACUCUUUUUCUUUUAUUUCAUCAAAUAUAUUAUUAUCAAAUAUUAUUUUUUGAUCUGUUCCUUCAUCAUUUAAAUAUUCUUCUUUUGUUAUUAUUUUUAUAUCAUCUUCAGUUAUUUUGUUUAUUUGUAUAUCUUCUUCAGUCAUUUAAUUUGUCUAAUUCACUAUCUAUUUCAUUAUCUUCUAUUUCAUUAUCUGUUUCAUUUUCUGAAAUUUCAUAUAUAUGAUCUUCACUUUCUAAUUCGUAAUCUAUAUAAUCUAUCUGCAUAUAUUCUGUAUUUUCUAUUUUUAUUUCUGAUAUUUGUUUAUUUUUUGGGUUUUUAAUGUGACACAAUUUGGGAUUUGCAUAGUCAUAAGUUGCUUAGACUCUUCACUUUCAGUGAUGUAUUUGUGUCACGAUAUGGAUGUGUCACGACCCAAGCCGAGGCCCUGGCUGUGACGGACAUCCCAGACCAUAGAGGCCCGAGAGACCCCUUAGUAUACUAUCAUAAAGAUAAUUCAUUCAACAAAAUGUGGAAGAUAUAAUAAAAUCUUAAAGAAUCUUUUAACUAAACUUUGUCAACAAAGUCAUAACAAAACGACAACCCAAAUCCAGUCUACGAAGCUUCUACUAAUGAUUGUCUGUCCAAGCCGGGACAAGGUCCCCGGCUGGAUGACAAAACUGAAAACAACUAUAAUAGUAUUAAAGACCUUCCGAAAAAUGGAGGUCUUACCAACUCUGAAACCUGAGGAAAUUCUAUUGCUGCGCAGGAUCAUGGGACUGAGCCUCAGAACCUAAAUUAUGAGACAAUGCAACCUUUUAAGGACCGCCACUACUUGAAAUGUAUUGGUAUGCAGAACAAUCGAAAAAUAUCAUUUAUUUAAUAUAUAAAAAUUAAGAACAAUGGGAAAACACUUUAACAUAAUGAAGAUCAAAACACAAGGGCUCUAAAAGCUUCAACAUAUCUCUUAAAGACAUAAUCUUGAAUCUUUUCUAUACUUUUGAGCUAGAUGGCAUCCCAACCUUUCUGCUACCCACGGGCUAUAUGGGUCCGGCGGAAACUUGUCGGUCAAGCCUUCAAUCUGAGUUUACCACAGAGAUUGGACUCUCUAUAUUCUAUUCUAGCAUGCUAGUGUCUGAGGCAAGUAUACAUUGACCAUCCAUAUAUUAUGAUGAUCUUCCCGCGUCGACCAGACAUGGUUUUAGGAUGUAAGCUUUUCAACUCACGCCUUCUCGGUUAACCAUCUAACUCUCUUAAAGACCAUUUUUAACCACUUAAAAUCACACUUAUAAAAGUUGUUAUCAUAUUCUAUUAAGGGUAUUUCAUAAAGAGGUAUCGCCAUAUGUCGACUUGCAAACCAUAUCAUAUCAUAUCAUAUCAUAUCGUAUCCGUAGCCCUUCUUUCAAAAACAUGCAUCAUUGACCACCAUACUAAUUCAUAUAUUAAACAAGAUUUCUUAUUUCCAAAUGGGUAUACAAGUUUAAACAAAACCUUUUUCCCUUUUCAAGACUUAAAUGUUAGGUGGUCAUCUUCUUUUAUAGUUCAUGCACUUUUCAUGAAAAAUAAGAGCAUUUAAACAUACCCAUACUUUCCAUAUUCAUAUCAUCAAACAAUGCAUAAUUUGACAAAGAAGACAUUUGCAACAUCAAUAUUUUCAUUUGUUCAUGUAACACCCCGAUUAUCUGAACAAAAAUGCUACACGGUGCUUAUGACCCCGAGGGACCACGAGCGAAACCAUGCUAAUAUCUGUACCUGUACACUGUAAUAUACAACAUAAUAGUGCGAAAAACAUGAACAUGUAGGCCAUAAGAUUCAACUGAAUAAAAAUCUGUAAAAACAUAAUAUCCAUAUGGGUGAAAGAUACCCAAAAAAACUAAAAACUGAAUCAAAUCUGAACUAAAUCUGAAUACUGAAUUUGAAAACCUCUAAGUACUGUCUGAAUAAGGAGUUGAAGGAAUAUAUCUCCAACUAACUCCAUCUAACAAAACUGAGCUGAAAUAAUAAAUAAAAUAAAAUAAUAUCGUCCUCGAAUAGAUAAGGACUCACUGCAACUCUGCGGCUGGAUGCUGCUGCUGAUUUGGAGCUCGUGUCUCUGAACCUAUAGUGUAACAUGAAAGAAAGAACCAUAGUGCAAAUGCGUCAGAACAACUGGAGUACUGAGUAUACAAGUGAGGUAGGCUAAUGCAAAAGGGUUUACAUGCAUGAACAAUGCUAAUUGACUGACUGAUAUGAACGUGAGAGUGUAAACAUACAUACAUAGUAACUGAUAUCGUGAGUACGUGAUAGCUAGAUAUGCACGCUAAUACAUAGUUUAUUGAUAGCUGACAUGGCUGAAACUGUAGUUCUUAUAACAUGGAUGACUAUAUCUGACAGUCUUAAAUCUGAUGGAACUAUCUGAGUUCUGCACUAUAACUGAAUUUGACUGUAUCUGACAGUCCUAGUAUACUGAUAACUGAAGAACUAUCUGAGUUCUUUUACUGAGACUGAGUCUAAAACUGUAGAAGGUAGCUGUUUAACCAACAUGUCCCAUAUAUGCCAUUAUGGCUAAGCUGGGGUCCAAUCUCUGCCCUGACUGGAAGGGUGUCAAUACCGCGCCACUAGUAAGGACAAUAUGUGAGCAAUCCUCAUAUAAAAGGUAAUUAUAGUGAGAAUGGUGGGAACCCUCAUAUAAUAGGUUAAGCCACCUCAUCUACCCUCAUAUAACAGGCUAUGAUGUCUCAACCUAUGCUAGCUACAUAGUUCUGGAACGCAAGGAUAACUGCUAAGAAUCACACCCUCAUAUACAGGUGAGUUCCCAUCCUUGGGUUAACUCGGUGCUAACUCCUACUCCCAUCUGGAGAGAUUGAACAUGAUUUAACUAACUGUACGUGAGUGGAACUUACUGAAUUCCAUUGACUGACAGAAUACUACUGAUAUCUGAUAACUGACUGAGACCAUGAAGUUUUCUGAGUCACAUGACUGACUGAAUUCUACUGAAUCAUGGCUUGAUUUUGUAUAUCGUGAAACAUGACAUAGCUCUAGGCACACAUCUAUAGUUUUUGGGUAUGAAUACCCCCAGGAAUCGAUGGAAGAAAAUUGACACAACAUGACUGACUUGAUCAUAAGAUUCGAGCCCAUAAUUCACAUUAUCAUAAAUAGGGGAUAUUAUACACCAUGUAGUUCCUCAACUUAUUAAGCAUGGUAGGGAGUGCAUAGCUAUAUUUCAUAUGCAUAUUAUAUAUCUCCAUUAUCACACAUGCUUCAUACCACAAUAAUAGCAACACAUGAAAAGCAUAAAAUUCAUAUUAAAGUAUAUAGCUAACAUGGACUUGUCAUUUAGACAUCGUGGAACCAUAUAAACAUGAAUUUCUAGCAUCCUAAGCAUUUUAUUGAACACCUUGCAUGAAUUCUUUAAGGCAUAGGUGUGUUUCAUAACUUGUACCAUUUUACACUACCUAAAGUUCAUAGUUUUCAACUAACAAGCAUAUACAUUCCAUGAAAACACCUCUAGAUAUAAUCUUGAAACUUAAACAACAAUCAUCAACCUAUACGUGCUUAUAUCACCACCAAAAGUUCACAAAAUAGUAUUUAAAACAUGGUUCUUAAGCUCUAUGAACGGAUUGGAUCCAUAGAUGAACACUACGCAUACCUUAGAAGGAAGAUUCUUGAUGAUUGACGGAGGAAUUUUCUUGAAAUUAGAUCUUCAAGCUUGAUUGUGUAACCCUAGUUGUUUUUCUCCUAUUGUGCUCUUGGAUAAAGAACUUUGAGAUAUUAAUACGGUUGUAAUGUGUUUAGUAGCUAUAAAUUUCGUAAAGUUAAGUUUAGGGACGUGCACGGAGUGUUAAAAUACUUAAUUAUCCCUAAACUAUCUCAAAAACUAAGUGUUUUCGUGGAUGAAAUCAUAAGUGCGCGUCACAUACCACAUCGCACAUGCUAAGAUGUGCUCCACACAUCUUAUCAUACAAGCUGAGGUGUGCAUCGCACAUGCUAUCGCACAACUGAGGUUGUGCGCCGCACAUGCCAUCGCACACUUGGUCCAGUAGCCAUGUGUGAUUUGUUAGGCAUCACACUCCUCUUUGCAAGGCCAUAACUUCAUGCUCGGGUGUCGUAUUUUGGUAAAAUUGGUAUCGUUGGAAAGAUAAUUCGAUUCACUACAAUUUAGUAGGUCUAAAUCUGCCAAAAUAUCACAUAUCAAUGAAGUUAUCCUCGUUCAAAGGUUUCUCUUGUGGAAUCACACACUAAAACUUGAUGGAUUCAAAAGCUAUUAACUUGCAUUACUCUAAGUGACUCAUAUGAGCAUGCUUAACACAUAAUAAUCUAUCUUAUAGAUAGAAUACUCAUUGUAAGUCAUGCACUAAAAUGUGAAUCACAGGAUAGGAGGUUUCAUAUAUAGGAAAACUGGUUCACUUCCUAGCUUAUCAACAUACGAGGUAUUACAAUAUCUCCCCCUUGGGAACAUUCGUCCUCAAAUGAGAAUUUACCGAGAGGACUAUUACCUUGAGCUUGAUCUGAAUUGGCAGAGAAGAGGUGAGGAUACUUGGUACGCAUAUCUGCUUCUGUUUCCCAAGUAGCUCCCUCAUGAGACUAAUUUUGCCAAAGAAUUUUAACUAGAGGGACUUCUUUGUUCCUCAAUCUACGAGUCUGGUAGUCCAAAAUUUUGACUAGAAUCUCUUCGUAAGGAGGUUGUUCUGAAUGUCACUGCUCGGAAUAGGGACUACAACUUUUAGGUCACCUAUACACUUCUUGAUCAAAGAGACAUGGAAGAUGGAUGAAUGGAGGAUAGAUUUGAAGGUAAUUGGAGCUCAUAAGCUACCUUGCCAAAGCAACUGAGAAUCCUGAAGGGACCGACAUAGUAGGACUGAGUUUCCCUUUCUUGCCGAACCUCUUCACUCCCUUCAUGGGAGAGAUCUUAAUAUAGACAUAGUCAUUGACCUCGAACUCGAGAUCCUUCCUAUGAACAUCCACAUACAACUUUUGUCGGCUCUAAGCCACCCCAAGUCUUUCUCUGAUCGACUGAACUUUCACUAAGGCAUCGAACACUAAGUUAGGACCUAUGUCUGAGGCCUCACUAACUUCAAACCAACCAAUUAGAGAUCUACAUCUCCUACCAUAGAGAGCUUCAAAUGGAGCCAUCUGAAUACUGGAAUGAUAGCUAUUGCUGUAUGCAAACUUAAUCAAGGGCAAAUGGUCGUCCCAACUUCCCUUGAAAUCAAUUGUACAUGCACUUAGCAUAUCUUCAAGAGUCUGAAUGGUCCUCUCUGCUUGACCAUCUUUCUAAGGAUGAAAUGUUGUAAUAAGAUGGACUUGGAUACCAAGACCCUUUUGGAAUGCUUUCUAGAAGUGAGAGGUGAACUGGGUACCUCUGUCUGAGAUGAUAGAUAAUGGAACACCGUGUAAUCUGACCAACUCCCUGAUAUAGAGUUUGGCGUAGUCCUCGGCUGAAUAAGAAGUAUGAACUGGAAAAAAAUGGGCUGAUUUGGUCAUUCUGUCUAUAAUGACCCAAACUGAAUCAUGCUGAAGACGAGUUCUAGGCAAACCCAUCACGAAGUCCAUAUUCACUUCUUCCCACUUCCAAGUAGGAAUGGUGAACUCCUGCAUAGAGCCACUAGGUUUUUGAUGCUCUAUCUUAACCUGCUGACAUAUAGAGCUCUUACCUACAAACUUUGCAACAUCUCUCUUCAUCCCACUCCACCAAUAUAUCUCCCACAAGUCGCAGUACAUCUUAGUAGCCCCUGGAUGAAUAGAGUAUCGUGUACCGUGUGCUUCUGCGAGAAUUCGCUGCCUUAAGUCAUCUACACCUAGAACACACAGACGACCAUGACAACGAAGAACACCAUCUCCCCCUUAGUAGAAAACUUCUACCUUCUGAUCCUGAGUAGACUCUUUUAGCUUAACAAGGCUAGGAUCCCUGCCUUGCUUCUCUUUCACCUUGGAAACUAGAGAUGACUCUGAACAUAUACACCACCCUCUGAAGAGUCAACUAAGCGAACACCUAGUUUGGCAAGCUGAUGGAUUUCCUAGGCUAUUUUUUUCUUGCUAUCCUCAACGUGAGAAACACUACCUAUAGAGAGUUUACUGAGAGCAUCAGCCAUAAGUUGGCCUUGCCCGGGUGAUAAAGGACACUCAUGUCAUAAUCCUUUAAGAGCUCUAACCACCUUCUCUGAUGAUGAUUGAGAUCUUUUUGAGAAAAAACAUACUGGAGACUCUUAUGAUCUAUGAAGACAUCUACAUGAACUCCAUAUAAAUAAUGCCUCCAAAUCUUUAAGGCAAAUACUACGGCUGCUAACUCAAGAUCAUGAAUAGGAUAAUUCUUCUCAUGGGACUUUAAAUGUCUAGAGGUGUAGGCUAUGACCUUACCAUGUUGUAUGAGGACAUAACCUAAACCCACUCUAGAUGCAUCACAAUAUACUACAAACCCAUCUGAACCAUCUGGAAGAGCUAGAAUUGGAGCUAAAGUGAGUCGAGUCUUCAAUUCCUGAAAACUCUUGUCGCAUGAAUCUGACCACUGAAACUUGACCUUCUUCUGAGUCACUCUGGACAUGGGAGAUGCAAUAGAAUAAAAUUCCUUGACAAACUGUCUGUAAUAUCUAGCCAAACCUAAGAAACUCCUGAUUUCUGAUAGAGAUAUGAGACGAGGCCCUUUUUUUACUGCUUCGGUCUUCUAAGGAUCUACUCUAACUCCAUCACUGGAAACAAUAUGGCUAAGUAAUGCUACUGAUCUUAGCCAAAAUUGGAACUUACUAAACUUGGCGAAUAAUUGAUGAUCCCUAAGUGUCUGAAGAACAAUCCUAAGAUGGUUUGAAUGAUUACGCUAGGUGCGAGAAUAGACAAGAAUAUCAUCUAUAAAGACUAUGAUGAACAUGUCCAAGUACUGCUUGAACACACGGUUCAUCAAGUCCAUGAAAGAUGUAGGGGCAUUGGUAAGAUAAAAGGACAUAACUAGAAAUUUAAAGUGACUAUACCGAGUACAGAAAGUCAUCUUCGGGAUGUCACAUUCUCCAACUCUGAGCUGAUGAUAGCCUGAUCUGAGGUCUAUCUUGGAUAAAUAACUGGAACCCUAAAGUUGGUCAAACAAGCCAUCUAUUCUAGGAAGUGGAUACUUGUUCUUGAUAGUGACUUUGUUGAGCUGACGGUAAUCAAUACACAUCCUGAGAGAACCGUCUUUUUUGUGCAUGAAUAAGACUGGUUCACCCUAUGGGGACACACUGGGCCUGAUAAAUCCCUGAGAUCCUUUAACUAAUCUUUUAGCUCUUUGAGUUCUGCAGGUGCCAUUCUAAAUGGCAAAAUAGAGAUAGGCUGAGUAUCUGGGAGAAGGUCUAUGCCAAAGUUUAUUUCCCUUUCGAGAGAAAUGCCUGGAAGAUCUUCGGCAAAGACAUCUACAUAUUAUUAACAACUGAAACUGACUCAAGGCUAGGAGAUUCAAAACUAGAAUCUUUAACAUGCACGAAAUGAUACACACACCCCUUAGAAAUAAUUUUCCUUGCUCGAAGGCAGGAAAUAAGAUGACCCUUGAAAGAUGAAGUACUACCCUUCCACUCUAGGAAAAAAUCAUUUGGGAACUGAAAUUGAACUAUUCGGGUCCUGCAAUCGACUGUAGAAUAGUAGGAAUGAAGCCAAUCCAUACCGAGAUUGACAUCAAAAUCAGUCAUUUCUAAUUCAACUAAAUCUACUGAUGUGGAUUUCUGAAAUAUCAUGGGCAGUUCCUUAUACCCGUCAAGCUAUGAUGAUUUUACCCACUGGGGUAGACACUGAAAAGGGCUCUGCUAAAAUUUUGGGACUGAUUCCAAAAUCGCAUGCUAUGUAUGGAGUGAAAAAAGACAAGGAUGCACCUGGAUCUAGCAAAGCAUAAACAUGAACAUGGAAAAUCUGUAACAUACCAGUAACGACAUCAGGAGAAUUUUCCUGAUCCUGUCGGGUCUGAAGAGUAAUCCUCUCUCGAAUAGUUAGUACUCAUAGGCAAAAGUGAGCGGACUUGGUCAUUCUAUCAACAAUAACCCAAAUAGACUCAUACUAGUUUUGGAAAAGCGGAAGUCUGGUAAUAAAAUACAUAUUGAUUAUCUUUCACUUCUACAUCGGUAAAGCUUUGUCUUGGGAGGUACCACCCAGCCUCAAGCGCUCAACCUUAACUUCAUGAUAAGUAUUUAACUUGAUGAUAAUUUAAAUACUUAUCCAUUAAUACUUAUAUUAUUCCACCAAUAUAUCUCCUAUAGGUCAUGAUACAUCUUAGUAGAUCUAAGAUGGACAACAUACCUAGCAACACGCACUUCAGUCAAAUCCUUCCCCACAACCCAUCAACAUCCAAAACACACAAACUCCCUUGAUACCUCAAGAUGCCUUAUCCCUCAACUUCAAAUUCUAUAUCCUUGUGGUGACCAACAUUUUUUAAUUUACAUUAAUAUGGGAUCAUUAGCUUGCUUCUCCUUAACCUCGGCACACAAGGAGAACUUAGACACUUCCUACAUGAUUAAUCUUCUAGCCUAGGAGUCUAAAGAGUCAACCCCCCAAAUUAUAAAGUCGGUGAAUAUAUUUAACUAGGUACCUCUUCUCCUUAUCUACAUGAGAAAGGUUUCCCAUAGAUAACCUAUUAAGAGCAUUAGCAACCACGUUAGCUUUGCUUGGAUAAUAGUGUAGGCUCAUGUCAUAAUUUUUUAAUAGCUCAAGCCACCACCUUUUCAUACGAUUCAGAUCAUUCUGAGUGAAAAUACAUAGUGUAAACUCUUAUGAUCGAUAAAUAUAUCAAAAUGCACCCCAUAAAGAUAAUGACGCCAAAACUUAAGUGCAAACACCACUGCUGCCAACUCUAGAUGGUGGUUGGGAUAGUUUUUCUCAUGGACUUCCAAUUGUCUAGAUGCACAAGCUAGCACCUUACCAUGAUACAUAAGUACACAACCAAGUCCCACCCGAGACACAUCAUAAGACAUAACAAACCCUUAGUGCCUUUGAGGAGGGUAAAAACCAGCGUAGUAGUCAACUUGUCUUUCAAUCUCUCAAAACUUCUUUCACAAGCCUUGGACCAUAAAAAAAUUAUCUUCUUCUGAGUCAACCUGGUAAGUGAAGAAGCUAUAGAUGAAAAACUCUCUAAAAAACUUAUAUAAUAUCCGACCAGACCUAAAAAACUCCAUCUGUCGGUUGGAGUAGUGGGCCUAGGACAUUUCUUCACUACUUUAAUCUUUUGGGGAUCAACCUUAAUCCUUUCACUAGAAACAAUAUCCCCAGAAAAGCUAUUGUACUUAGCUAGAAUUCACACGUAGAAAAUUUUACAUACAACUUUUGGUCCUUAAGUGUCUAAAGUACAAAUCAAAGGUGAUGGGCAUGCUCCUCUUCACUCCUGGAGUAAACUAGAAUAUCAUCAAUAAAAAGUAUGAGAAAUAAGUCCAAAAAUUUCUUAAAUAUCAUGUUAAUAAGAUCCAUAAAGGUUGUAGGUGCAUCAAUCGAUGUAAUACCCCAGGAAAUUUUUCGUUGAAAUUUUGUGCGUAAACGUGUUAGGUUCUAUCUUCUAGAAUGAAUUAUAAAUUUUCCAUGUGGAAUGUCUUAGAUUAUGACCCACCAUUGCGUAGAUUAUUGAAUAAUAUUUCCAAUGAUAUGUGGAUCAUCCAAAACGGACACCCGAGCAACGAGUUAUGAAUAUUUCGAUCGAACCGUGAAUAGUAGUGAAAGGUAAAACGUGCAGGAAAAAGUACUGAGGCCUGACGUAUUUUUCUCCAACUUUAAAAGAUCAUAACUCCUUGUACAUAAUAAUCUGGGUGAUCUACUAUAUAUCAAUGGAAAGCUCUGUGAGUCCUCUUUCCAAUAAAUUGGUUUCAUCCAAUUUGUCUAUCGGAGCAAAAAGUUAUGGUCGAUCUACUUCAGCCUAUCAAAAAUAAAUUUUUGGGACAACUUUAAAUGAUCAUAACAUCUCGUACACAAUGAUUCCGGUGAGAUACUAUAUAUCAAUGGAAAGAUAUGAGAGUCCUUUUUCUAAUAAAAUUUGUUUCAUCCAAUUUGGAUAUCGGAGUAAAACGUUAAGAUUGAUCUACUUCAGACUAUCAAAAUAGUCCACCAAAGGACAGAUUCGAGAAUUAUUUAAUUUUUAGGAGAGUUUUGGUCAUUCUCCCUCACCUAAAAUCCAUCUAAACCCUAUAUUAAAGCCUAUUAGUAGCAUUAUAUGUUAUAUUAAUCUAAAGUUCGUCAUUCAAGGUUUCUGAGGUUUUUCAACAAGAACUCUCUUUCGUUUUUAUGCCCAAAAGAACUUUUCUUUACAAAGGCAUAAUUUUUAUUUGAUUUUUACGAAUUUGAAGCAUGAACCCAUAUCUUAUGAUUAUUAUUAUGAAAUCUUGAUUUUUAUGAUUUUGAAAGAUGAAUUUACAUGUGUGGAGAUAUAAAGCAUGAAUNNNNNNNNNNNNNNNNNNNNNNNNNNNNNNNNNNNNNNNNNNNNNNNNNNNNNNNNNNNNNNNNNNNNNNNNNNNNNNNNNNNNNNNNNNNNNNNNNNNNNNNNNNNNNNNNNNNNNNNNNNNNNNNNNNUGGUUGAUUUUGAUAGAUGGGAAGCAUGAUGGCUCCCGAUGUAUAUUUAUAUAUUACUAAAAUUAUUUUAUUAUGGAUUGUCUUUGAAAUGAUCUGAGCUAAGUCCAGGAGAAAUAUUUAGCACCGAGUGGGAGGUAUAAAGCGACCUUACUUUCCUAGAACUACGUGCCCCCAUAGCAGUGAGCCUGAGGCUGAUUUAUAUAGUGAUCACUAGUUUGUGUAGAUUUGAUAUUGAUAGUCCUACUCCGAUGGCAAGGAUAAGAUGGCUCUCCCCAAAGUGGGUUGUACGUUGUACUCCAUGUAGCUCACAAGGUUUAUGUCGGUUAUAGGAUCUCCAGUGUAUGUGUGUUUCCUUGUGUCUAUGGUGAAUGGUGAAGUGAUUUGAAAGUGGAAUUAUGAAAGUUAUUCUUUUGAAAGAUUUAAAUGAUAUUUACAUUAUGAAAAUUGAUAUUCUUGAUGAACUGAAAGUGAUUGACAGAUUAUAUGAUGACUCACAUGUGUUAUUGUUCUUAUUUCAUCCUUUCAUGAUUAUGAUGAUUUUCUUUGAGCUAUGUGAGUCUUUCAUACAUACUGAAUAUUUCUUAUAAAUAUUUAUGAUGAUGAUGUUUAUACCACUGCAUACACCCUCAUAUACUCAGUUCCUUUCCAGGGUACUGACCCACAUCUUCGGAUGUGGGCUGCAUUUUCUAGGAAUGUAGGUUUAGGUGCUCAGUUUCAGAUUUGACAGUGAUUCUUCGGGCACGCUAUUCUUCAUCCUUUGUUGUGGUGAGUCCUCAUGUUUUGAGGAUGUGAUUUUUGAUGUUGGUUUCACAGACUUAUUUACAUUUGAUAACUGAGUAUGAGUCAGUUGGGGCAUGUCUCAAUGGCUCACUGGUUUUAUUGAUUUUCUUAGAGUCUUGUCAGACUAGUAUAGAUGUUGGGAGUUGACUAAUAAGUCAUAUUUUGUUGUCUUUCUAAAAUUCUUUUAUUCUUUGAUGAUGAUUACUCUAUUGAUAUUUGACGGUUAUUUAUGAAAACCCCAUUGAUUUGUGUUGAACUAAAUGAAAAUGGCUCAAAGGGUUAGCUUGGGGCUACUCGUAGCCUCAAGCACUGUGUGACACUCCGGGACCUAUUUUCUAGGGCGUUACAAACUUGGUAUCAGAGCCUAAGGUUUUAAGGUAUCCUAGGGACUCUAAGAAGCCGCAUUAAGUAGAGUCUUGAUCAUCGGUGUGUAGCGCACCACAUCUAUGAGCAAGAGGCUACAAGUCAUUUUAGGAAAAAGUGUGAUUCUUUCUUUCCCAAGUCUAUUGUUCUUAAAGUGUCUCUCUCUGCUAUUGAUUCAUGCUCUACUCUUUUAUUAAUAUGUCUCUACGUCGAGCGAGAAGAAAUAAUAAUGGUCAUCAACCUCAACCCACUGACCUAUUGAAUUAAAAUGUGUCUGAUGCUAAAUUUUGGGCAACCUUUCAGGCGCUGGCCCAAGCUAUUACUACAAAUAUUUAGACCAACCCGGCCCUGACUCCACAAUAGCAGGGAGGUAAUUCAGCUGCUGCCAGGAUCUGUGACUUCAUGCAGAUGAAUCCGCUAGAAUUCUAUGCAUCCAAGUCUGAAGAGGAUCCACAGUUGUUUUUAGAGGAGGUGCGAAAGAUUACUCAGGUGAUGCAUGUAUCUGAGAAACAUAGUGUGGAGUUGGCUGUGUAUAGGUUGAAAGACCUUGAUUAUGACUAGGUUGUUUCUUGGAGGAAAAGUAGAGGUGAGGGAGCUGUCCCUACAACUUGGCAAGAGUUCCAGGAUGCAUUCCUGGAUAAGUUUUUCCCUUUGGAGAUAAGGGAAGCGAAGGUGGAAGAUUUUAUAAACCUGUGAUAGGGAUCUAUGAUUGUUAGGGAGUAUUGUCUAAAGUUCAACUAUUUGGCCAAGUAUGCUCCUGACUUAAGUGGCUAAUAAUCGGGCUAGUAUGAGUAAGUUUGCGACUAGAGUGUCUAGUUAUGUGGUUAAGAAGUGUAGGUCUGCUAUGUUGAAUAGUGAGAUGAAUCUUUCUAGGCUGAUGACUCAUACCGAAUAGAUUAAGGUAGACAAGAUUAAGGAGAGAGAUAGAAUGAGAGGGAAUAAGAGAGAUAGGUACGAGCAGUACGAACAGGAUCAGACUAGAUCGCAGAGAGGGAGUCACCUUCAGUAUCAGGAUCAUUCGUCUAUGCCAGCACCAUCAUCUACUAGUGCUCUCAUUCCUAGAGGUAGGCAGGAGCAAGGUAGCAGGUCAUAUGCAUCCAUGUCCCAGUACAGUGCUGGCAGUAAGCCAAAUCAUCCCCUGUGUCCCAAGUGUGGUAGGGCUCAUUUGGGUGAGUGUUGGGGUGAGAAGAGGGGUUGUUUCCAGUGUGGUGACAUGGGUCACAGAGUUAGAGAUUGUCCACAAGAUAGAUAAGGGCAUCGUGACUAUCGCCCUCAGACCCAGACUCAGACUGUUAGUGCUCCAGUUCUAGUGAAUCGCCCAGCCCCAGCUCAGGGUGCCUCUUCUAGCAAUGCUGGCGGGCAGCGCUAGAAUAGAUUCUAUGCUUUACUAUCCCACCAGGAAUAGGAGAAAUAUCUCAAUGUUGUGACUGGUAUGUUUCGUAUAUUUCAGUUUGAUGUGUAUGCUUUGUUGGAUCCUGGAUCUAGUUUCUUAUAUGUUACACCUUUGAUUUCUUUGAAUUUUGAAAUGAGUCCUGAGAUUAUUCCUGAGCCUAUCCUAGUUUCUACCCCAGUGGGUGAUUCGAUUAUUGCCCAGAAAGUGUAUAAAAAGUAUCCUAUUACAGUUCUUCAUAGAGUCUUGUUGGCUGAUCUAAUUGAGUUAGACAUGUUAGAUUUUGAUGUAAUUCUGGGUAUGGACUGACUGUAUUCUUCUUAUGCCUAUAUUGAUUGUCGGACCCGAGUGGUCAAGUUUUAGUUUUCGGGUGCAUCCGUGUUUGAGUGGUCUGGGAAUUUUGUGUCACCCAAGAGUUAUUUUAUUUCUUACCUCAAAGCUAGAAAGCUUAUUUCCAAGGGGUGUAUUUACCAUUUGGUUAGCGUCAAAGACACUAAGUCUGAGACUCCAACUCUCCAGUCUAUUAGCGUCAUGAAUAAGUUUUCUGAUAUCUUUCUUGAUAAUCUCCAAGGGAUACCUCCUGAUAGAGAGAUAGAGUUCGGGAUUUAUCUUCUUCCCAAUACUCAGCCUAUUUCUAUUCCUUCUUAUCAUAUGGCCCCUACAAAACUUAAGGAUUUGAAAGAGCAACUCAAAGAUAUACUAGAUAAGGGUUUCAUAAGUCCCAGUGUUUCUCCUUGGGGUGCUCCUGUGUUGUUUGUGAGAAAGAAAGAUGGCUCUUUGCGUAUGUGAAUUGAUUACUGCUAACUAAAUAAAGUUACCAUAAAAAAUAAGUACCCUCUUCCGAGAAUAGAUGAUUUGUUUGACCAAUUGCAAGGUGUAAGUUAUUUCUCAAAGAUAGACCUUCAUUUCGGCUAUUAUCAACUCAAAGUUAGGGAGUGUGACAUCCCGAAAACCGCUUUCCAAACUCGUUAUGGACAUUUUGAGUUUCUUGUUAUGUCUUUUGGGUUAACUAAUGCCCUAGCAGCUUUCAUGGACCUCAUGAAUCGAGUGUUCAGACCAUAUUUGGAUAUGUUUGUCAUAGUNNNNNNNNNNNNNNNNNNNNNNNNNNNNNNNNNNNNNNNNNNNNNNNNNNNNNNNNNNNNNNNNNNNNNNNNNNNNNNNNNNNGAGGGUAUUAGAGUUGAUCCCUAAAAGAGCGAAGCUGUUAGAAAUUGGCCUAGACCUAUUUCUUCGACUGAUAUCCAAAUUUUCUUAGGUUUAGAUAGCUAUUACCUCCAUUUUGUUAAGGGUUUCUCCUUUAUAGCAUCUCCUAUAACUCGGUUGACCCAAAAGAAAGUGAAGUUCUUGUGGUCUGAAUCUUGUGAGAAGAGUUUUCAAGAGUUGAAGACUCGACUCACUUCAGCCCCUGUUUCGACUUUUCCUGAUGGUGUUGCUGGUUUUGUGGUGUAUUAUGAUGCUUUGAGAGUUAGGUUCAGUUGCGUAUUGAUGCAGAAGGGUAAGGUGAUAGCUUAUGCUUCUAGACAGUUGAAACCCCAUGAGAAAAAUUACCCCACCCAUGACCUUGAGUUGGCUGUUGUUGUGUUUGCUUUGGAAAUAUGGAGACACUAUUUGUAUGGUGUCCAUGUUGAUGUUUUCACUGAUCACAAGAGUCUGCAGUAUGUGUUUACCUAGAGAGAAUUGAAUCUUAGGCAGAGAUGAUGGUUAGAAUUCUUAAAGGACUAUGAUAUGAGUGUGCUGUACCAUCUGGGGAAGGCCAAUGUUGUGGUGGAUGCCCUAAGUAGAGUGUCUAUGGGUAGUGUUUCGCAUGUGGUAGAAGGUAAGAAAGAGUUGGCUCGUGAUGUACAUCGUUUGGAUAUAUUGGGGGUUAGGUUGUUUGACUCUGCUGGAGGUCGUAUAGGGGUUCAGAGUAGUUCUAAAUUCUCCUUGGUUUCAGAAGUAAAAGAAAAGCAAUACUUAGAUGCUAGUUUGGUUAGACUGAAAGAGUCAGUCAAGGACCAAAAAUAAGAGGUUUUCUCCUAAGGGGGAGAUGGUGUGUUGAGAUUAUAGGGUAGAUUGUGUGUCUUGAAUGUUAAUGAUCUGAGACAGAGGAAUAUGGCUGAAGCGCACGAGGCGUGAUAUUCUAUUCAUCCUGGUGCCACCAAGAUGUACCGAGACUUGUGGGAAAUCUAUUGGUGGAGUGGCAUGAAGAAAUAUAUAGCAGUGUUUGUAGCUACUUUUGCAACAUGCCAACAGGUUAAGGUUGAACACCAAAGACCUGGUGGUAUGAUGCAAGAGUUUAGUAUUCCCACCUGGAAGUGGAAAGAGAUAAAUAUGGACUUCAUGAUUGGUUUACCUCCUUUCCGAUGCCAUCAUGAUUCCAUUUGGGUUGUGGUUGAUAGGUUGACUAAGUCUGCUCAUUUCUUGCCUGUUCAUACUUCAUAUACUGCUGAGAUUACGCUAGAUUGUAUAUCCGAGAGCUAGUUAGACUUGAUGGAGUUCCCUUGUCUAUCAUUUCGGAUAGGGGUACUCAGUUCACUUCGCAAUUUUGGAAAGCUUUUCAGAAUGGUCUUGGUACCCAAGUGCUUUUGAGUUCUACUUUUCAUCCGUAGACCGAUGGUCAGGCUGACCGGACCAUCUAGACCUUAGAGGAUAUAUUGAGAGCUUGUUCACUUGACUUUAAGAAAAAUUGGAAUAAUCACUUACCGUUGAUAGAGUUUGCUUACAAUAACAGUUUCCACUCUAGUAUUGGCAUGGCUUCGUUUGAAGCCUUAUAUGAGAGGAAGUGUAGAUCACCCAUAGGUUGGUUCGAGGUGGGUGAAGCGGCUAUGAGUGGUCCUGAUUCGGUAUUUGAGGCUAUGGAAAAAGUUAAGUUGAUUAGGGAAAUUUUGAAAACUGCGCAGUCGUCAGAAGUCAUAUGCGGAUGUUAGAAGGAGAGACCUUAAGUUUGAAGUUGGUAACCUAGUGUAUAUGAAAAUUUCACCCAUGAGGGGGUUGAAGAGAUUCAGAAAGAAUGGGAAGCUUAGUCCCAGUUAUAUUGGUCCUUACAAAAUUCUUAGCCGUGUUGGUAAGGUAGCUUAUGAGGUCGAGUUGCCUUCCGAGUUGUCCUCUGUUCAUCCAAUAUUCCAUGUCUCCAUGCUUAGAAAGCAUAUUAGCGAUGUUAUGGUAGUGGAUUCCUCUGUGAGUGCUGACAUUCAAGAAAAUCUUUCUUUUGAUGAGAUUCUUGGGAAGCUGUGGUGAAACCAAUCUGUUGAGGGUGCAACUUGGGAAGUUGAAGCGGAUAUGCGAUCCAAGUACCCGCACCUAUUUUUUGCAAACUCCGAUCAAGCCAAAGGUACCGUUCUUUCCUAAAUCAUGCCUUUUGAUAAAAGAUGCAGCAGUUCAGCUAUCAUUUAUUAGGUGUUCAGCUGUAGUUUCUUGAAUUUAUGCAUUCUAUGUUGCAUUCGGAGUGAGAAACGAUGUGGUGAUGAGUCUAACAAAUGGUUUCAGCUGUAUGCUCUAUUCCCUAUCUAAUCUUUGCAUGUCUAGCGUCAUUCGAGGAUGAAUGUUUCCAAGGUAGGGAUGAUGUAAUACCCCGGGAAAUUUUUCAUUGAAAUUUUGUACGUAAACGUGUUGGGUUCUAUCUUCUAGAAUAAAUUAUAAAUUUUUUGUAUGGAAUGUCUUAUAUUAUGACCCACCAUUGCGUAGAGUAUCGAAAACAAUUUCCAAUGAUAUGUGGAUCAUCCAAAACAAACACCCGAGCGACAAGUUAUGAACAUUCCGAUGGAACCGUGAAUAGUAGUGAACAGUAAAACGUGCAGGAAAAAGUACUAAGGCCUGACGUAUUUUUCUCCAACUUUAAAUGAUCAUAACUCCUUGUACAUANNNNNNNNNNNNNNNNNNNNNNNNNNNNNNNNNNNNNNNNNNNNNNNNNNNNNNNNNNNNNNNNNNNNNNNNNNNNNNNNNNNNNNNNNNNNNNNNNNNNNNNNNNNNNNNNNNNNNNNNNNNNNNNNNNNNNNNNNNNNNNNNNNNNNNNNNNNNNNNNNNNNNNNNNNUGGGUGAUAUACUAUAUAUCAACGGAAAGAUAUGAGAGUCCUCUUUCUAAUGAAAUUAGUUUUAUCUAAUUUGGAUAUCGGAGUAAAAUGUUAUGGUUGAUCUACUUCAGACUAUCAAAACAGUCCACCAAGGGACAGAUUUGAGAAUUAUUUAAUUUUUAGGGGAGUUUUGGUCGCUUCCCCUCACUCAAAAUCCGUCCAAACUCUAUAUUAAAUCCUAUUAGAAGUAUUAUAUGUUAUAUUUCAUCAAAUUCCCUCAAAAAGAAAACCCUAAGCUCCUACAUCCAACUUCAAGAACCUCCAAAGUUCACCAUUAAUUCUACAAAUUUAUUUAAGAUUCUAAGUUCCUAGUUCAAGAACUCCAAGAACCAUCAUUCAAAGGCACGAUUAACAUCUCAAAAAUGAGUAUCGAUCUAAAGUUCAUCAUUCAAGGUAUGUGGGGUUUUUCAACAAGAACUCUCUUUCAUUCUUGUGCCCAAAAGUAAUUUUCUUUACAAAGGCAUGAUUUUUAUUUGAUUUUUACAAAUUUAAAGCAUGAACCAAUAUCUUAUGAUGAUUAUUAUGAAAUCUUGAUGUUUAUGAUUUUGAAAAAUGAAUUUACAUGUGUGAUGAUAUAAAGCAUAAAUCUUGAAUGAUAUUUAUCAUGAUUUUGAUAUUUGGGUCAUGAAUUCCCAUUGGAAAUUGUGUUUUUUUUAAGAAAGUGUGUGUAUAAGUAUAUUGAUAUUGAAUAUUUGAGAUAUUUUGAAUGAUUUGACCUUUUGAUCUUAAUGAAGUUGUUUUGAACUCGAGUGUGAAAGAAAUCCACAACGUGGGUGAUUUUGAUAGACGGGAAGCAUGAUGGCUCCCGAUGUAUACUUAUAUAUUACUGAAAUUGUUUUGGGAAGCAUGAUGGAUCCCGAUGUAUAUUUAUAUAUUACUAAAAUUAUUUUGUUGUGGAUUGUCUUUGAAAUGAUCUAAGCUAAGUCUGAGAGAAAUCUUUAGCACCGAGUGGGAGAUAUAAAGCGACCUUGCUUCCCUAGAACUACGUGCCCCUGUAGGAGUGAGCCUGAGGCUGAUUUAUAUAGUGAUCACUAGUUUGUGUAGAUUUGAUAUCGAUAGUCCUACUCCGAUGGCAAGGAUAGGACGGAUCUCCCCAACGUGGGUUGUACGUUGGACUCCAUGUAGCUCACAUGGUUUAUGUCAGUUAUAGGAUCUCCCAGUGUGUGUGUGUGUUUCCUUGUGUCUAUGGUGAAUGGUGAAGUGAUUUGAAAGUGGAAUUGUGAAAGUUAUUCUUUUGAAAGAUUUAAAUGAUAUUUACAUUAUAAGAAUUAAUAUUCCUGAUGAGCUGAAAGUGAUUGACAAAUUAUAUGAUGACUCACAUGUGUUAUUGUACUUAUUUCAUCCUCUUAUGAUUAUGAUGAUUUUCUUCGGGCUAUGUGAGUCUUUCAUACAUCCUGCAUAUUUUUUAUAAAUAUUUAUGAUAAUGAUGUUUAUACAACUGCACCCCAUAUACUCGAUUCCUUUCCAUGGUACUAACCCACAUCUUCGGAUGUGGGCUACAUUUUCUCGGAAUGUAGGUUCAGCUUCGAUAGUGAUUCUUCGGAAACGCUGUUCUACAUCCUCUAUUAUGGUGAGUCAUCAUGUUUCGAGGACGUGAUAUCUGAUGUUGGUUUCACAGAAUUGUUUACAUUUGAUAACUGAGUAUGAGUCAGUUGGGGCAUGUCUCAAUGGCUCGCUAGUUUUAUUGAUUUUCUUAGAGGCUUGUCAGACUAGUAUAGAUGUUGGGAGUUGACUAAUAAGUUGUAUUUUGUUAUCUUUCUGAAAUUCUUUUAUUCUUAGAUGAUGAUUACUCUGUUGAUAUUUGAGGGUUAUUUAUGUAAACACCAUUGAUUUGUGUUGAAUUGAAUGAAAAUGGCUCAAAGGAUUAGCUUGGGGCUACUCAUAGCCUUAAGCACUGUGUGACGCUCCAGGACCCGUUUUUCGGGGCGUUACAAUCGACCUAAGAAACAACCAAAAAUUCAUAAUGACUAUAUCGGGCUUGGAAAGCAAUUUUGGGAACGUUAUCCUCCCUAACCUUACGCUAAUAAUUACUCAAAUGGAGGUCUAUCUUAGAUAAAUAUCUAGCACUCUAAAGCUGCUCAAAGAUAUCAUCAAUUCUUGGGAAAGGGUACUUAUUUUUACUAGUGACCUUGGUCAGAUGUCGGUAAUGUCAAGACCCAAAAAUCAAGGGUCAUGAUGGCACUUGUCCCAGCAAGACAGACAAGCUUAUCACCCAAACUAAUAUAACAAGGGAAAUCAAUAACAAAAUCCAAGAAAAGGCUUUUAGAGCGAAGCUAAGCCUUACAAAAAGGAUAAUAGCAGAAGUAUAAUCAAUAAUACCAAACCAAAACCCAAAACCUGGUGUCACUAUAUAAGAACUGCUAAAUAUAUCUCAAAUUUUAAAAGAUAUAAUAAUAAUCCAAGAAGGAUCAAUAUACUAGCUUUGAAUAAAAAAUAAGACAUGUAAUAGAUAGGAAGAGGUAGUAGGCCAACUUUUGAAGCAUAGCAUGUCCGCUACCUCAAAUACUCCAAAAGUCACCCAAAUCAGCUACUCGUGUGGCGCACUCAUACCUGGAUCUGCACUAAAAAGCUGCAGUAGGGAUGAUUACGGUACACUUGUACUUAGUAGGUAUUAUUUGUCGAUUGGGUAAAGUAGAAAAUAAAGCAUAUAAACACAAACUAUAGGUACGUUACCUGCAAUAAGAAAAUAUCCCAAACAGUAGCCUACGUUAUCUCCACUAAUAGUUCUAAUAAUACACACAUAUAAUAAAUACAUGUACAGAAAAGAAGAACAAAUAUACACAUACAUCAAAUACAAGUAUAGUAAGAUAGAACAAAUGGAUAGAUAUCAAGUCAAAGACAGAAAUACAAUCACAACAAAAGCACAAUAGAUGAAGUCCAAUGAAGAUGAUGAUGUGAUGCACGAGGUUUCUGCACAACCUCCGUAUACACCUACAAAGAUAAAUCUUCUCAAUAUAGGACCCAUGGGGGGUUCGUUAACCCAUGUACAAUCAAUAUUGAAUACCAAUAUCCAUAUCUCUUCUUUGACAUAUACAUUAGUAAAGGGUUUUUAAGAUGUCAUCUUUUCUAUUAGAAAAAAGCAGUGUUUCUAGUAUUUUCAGUAUUUUCACGGUGGUACCAGUGUUUCAUGAAUAAAUAUGAUAUGAGGAUGUAAUUUUAAAAACCAAGCAAGGUGAGAAUAUCCAAUAUCCCACCAAUAUACCAACUAUGUGAGCCAAAAUUCUACUCAAAUCAACCAAUCAUCCAUGAUCCAAAAUAAUCCAGAAAAUGAUUAAGUAAAACAUGCAAGAAAGUUUUGUCGAUACCACAUAAAUCUUAAAAUAUAGUUUUUUCCAUUGAAAGAGUGCAACCAAACAUACAUAUAUCAAUACGAGGCCAGCAACAUCAUAUAAGACCCCACAUGAUCACACAUAAUAAAUAGUAUCUUAAAAUUAUCAAAUAUUAUCCUCAUAUGCCCCCACACGGGCACUCAAAUCACCUAAACAUAUUUUGCAUGGUAUAACCCCAUACCCAUAACAUGAUUUUACAUUAUUAUUAACUACCCAAUACAGUCUAAAGAAAGUUAAUCCAUAACCUACAUCAAAUGACAAAAAAUGAUCCAAAAAGCCUUCAAUCCAGAUAUUUUUCCUUACAAGUGGAUCCAGAAUCAACAAAGACAUACAAAUACAUAAUCUACACAUCAAAACAAAGUCAACGAUACCCAUAUGGCCUAUUUUUGAGUCGGAUUCAAAAUAGACUACCAAAAUAUAUUUUCAAAAAAAAAAAGAGUAGUUUUAUUAAAAAAAACAUGUUCCUCAUACUCAUAGGAGUCUACAACUAAAAACCCAUGCAAAAAUGAGGUUCAGAUCCAAGAAAAACUAUUUUCAAGCUUUAUGAUAAAAACCUCCAAAAUCCAUUUUGAAAUCAAGAAUUUAAAGUUGUUUUAAAGAUCAAAUAAGAGAAAAAUGAUAAUUAUAAGAUUGAAAACGUAAUUAUGAAAGAAAUCUGUAACACCCCACAUUUUUGGGCAAGACUUUGAACCGUCGUUCCGACGUGUGAAAACUCUCAUCAAAAUAUUUGGAUACAAAUAAAUGUGUCAUAAUCAUUUACCUAGUGUUUUAAGUUCUAUUGAAGUGAAAAAUGUUCAUAGAAAGAAUUUAGAACAAAGUUGAGUUGUGAACACUUUCAUCGAUUGAGUUUUUGUAUUUGAUCCUACUAGGGUCAACUUUAAAUGAGUGUAAUUACUAGAAUAUAACUAUUAAGGUGUCCUACUAUAUAUCAAAUGAAAAAUCUUUGAGUCUUAUUUCCAUCUCAACUAGUUUCACCUUAAUCUAAUAUCGAGUAGAAAGUGAUGCUCAUUUUACUCUAGAGUGUCUGACUGUCAGAAAGUGAUGACUAAGUUGACGAGCCAUCAACCAUAGUCAUCAACCUUAACUAGAAAAGAGUAAAAUCCAUCUAGAAUUAGUGACUAGGGUGAUAGGACGUCACAGAGUUGACAGAUUGUAAACCUAGUUGUCAGUUGAGGAAAUUCCUGCAUUUUUCUUGGUUUCUUUAGGGGUAUUUUGGUCUUUUCCUCACCCAAACCCUACUCCCCAUGACUUAAAUCACCCUAUGCAUGAUAGUUUCACAUCAUUAGUUAGUUUUCAAUGUUUACUUCACAUCAUUAGUUAGUUUUCAAUGUUUAAAUCACCCUAUGCAUGAUAGUUCCAUUGAUUUCAUGUUAAACCAUCAGAUUAUGAACUAAACCAUGAGAAGUUGUUAUCCUCCCAAGUUUACCUUAUCCCCAUGUUCAAAUUUAUGUAUUUUAUCAGUCAAUCAAAAUGUCUUAUGUUUUGGGCCUCUGAACUAUGACUUUAUUCCACUAUUUUAAGUGUUGUUAUCUUAUUUAAGUUUCAUUCAGUGCUAGAGGGUUAUGAACACCGAAUACCUAUAUGUUUUUAUAAGUUUUUGUUUUCAAGUAAUAAGACAGUCAUACCAUGAUUUUAUUAUCAGAUUCAGAUUAUCAUGUUCAUGCUAUGCGCUUAUCAGUACAAUACCAUGUCAUGUUAAAAAAAUAAUAAUACCAGUGUCAUUCAGUUGGGAGUAAUACUUAGCACUAAGUGAACGCAGAGAUGAUGGCUCCCCCGUCAGUUAGGCAUGAGUCAAUAGUAGCAGCCCCUAAGUUCCAGACCUGCAGUGCCACUAUAUAUUAUGAGUGGUCCCCCGUCAGUUAGAUGUGACACCCUCGUCCUUCGAGACAUCAGCCUUGUGGAUCCACAUUGUCAGUUAUGUGUCGGUACCCCUGGCAAGGUAUUGACAACCUUUCAACUGGGGUUACAGGUUGGACCUCGAUAGCUUAGAUUGAGAUAUGUCUGUUGCAGUUAACUCCCACAGUCUCAAUGUAGUAUUCAGAGUAGGCCAGUUCUGGUUUUCAUGACCAAGUUUACAGAUAUCAGUUAUUUAGUUAUACAGAUUUCAGAUUUUAGUUAUUCAGUUUAAAGAUUAUUUCAGUACAAAUUUAUUGUUGGUCAUGCAUUUUCAGUUUUACAUGUUCAUGUUUUCAUGCUCAGUAUCCAUACAUGACCCUCAAUUCAGUUUUACAGCAGGUUCAAUUUUACAUGAGAUUUACAUACAGUAUUCAUAUUUUAUCGCUUCCCAAGUUCAGUUUUUCUUAUUCUACAAAAGUAAAGAUUUAAGAAAACUAAGUGUACUGAUUCACCAUCUUAUCAAAUUAUGUUUGUUACUCAUAUUUUAAGAUACUUCAGCUUUCAAUUAAUUUCAAUCUCUUGGUGAGUCUACUUAGACUUAGCAUGCAUGUUUUAAAAUUAUCUAUCUAUUCAGUUUUACUUAUUGCAUUCACCCCUACUUACUCAGUACAUUCCAUAAGUACUAACUGCAUAUACGUCUGUGUGGAUACAUUAUUUUAAAAUGUAGGUAACAGAAGUAUUCCACACACUAGGGUUGCACAGUUUUAGCUUUCAGCCAGCGGGUGAUAAGUUCUCCUAUUUCAGGAACUCCAGUCCAUUGCAGUACAUGUGUUGUAUUUUGAUUAACCAUAUCUACUGAUUAGUGGUAGUUGGAGGCAUGUACGAACUAUCUAUAGUCAGUAUAGUAGAGGAUUCGCAGAUGGUCAGUCAAAGUCAUUCAUGAAACUCAAGUUCUUUCUUCAAUUUCAUCAUAUUGUAAACUUUAUCAGUAUUACAUUAAUUUUGAUUUUCUUAUGAUUAUGUUUCCACUCAGUAAAUUUAGUUUUUAUACAAUUUAAAUCAGUUGCUCAAGUAUCAUUCCAGUACAUGGGUUAGCUUAGUAUCACUUGUGGUUCUAAGCACUGUGUUACGACUAGGGGGUAGCCUCAAGUCGUGACAAAAUCUUUAAAAAAACUUUGGAAUUGCAAUUAGAGCUUUCAAGGCCCAAAAAUGAUGGAAAUGGGGUUUUGAUUCUCUACUUGGGAGGAAAUAACGAAAAGUAAAAUAGAAGUUCUUAGAAAAUGGGGAAAUAAUGUUCUACAGUGAUAGACAAUGAUUCUAUGAGAAAAUGCAUUAAAAAUCAUCAGAAUUAAAGCUUCCUAGCUCUAAAAAUGUCAAAAAUACUAAAUGGAUUUGAUUUGGGUCUUAACCAACAAUGAUGGCUACAAAAGUGGCACUUUGGCUGCUAAAGCGUCCUAUUCAAAUGGUCAAAAGCUGCUAAAGCGGUCAACCAGCCACUUUAGCGCCUACACCAGUACCAUCAAUUCUCGAAACUUGUUUUUGACCCCAAAACUCAUUUAGAAUCCUAUGAAUAGGGUCAAUAGUGAAAUUUGAUUAUAAAACAUGUUACGGAUCCAAUGGAUUUAUUAAAGUAACAAAAAAAGGGUCAUUAUAGCAAAAUUGACCCUCGAGAUCCUAUUUUACACUAUUUCUGAACCAAGGAUCAAAAUAGGAUCUAUAGGCCACAAAAUCUAACCAACCCUAAUACUAAUCCAAAUUUGGCAUUCUAGAUCCAAUGGCGAUAUCAAAUUUGUUAAAAAUAUCAUUUUCAUAAAACAAACCCUCGAGACCCAAUUUUACAACUUUUUGAACCAAGGAUCAAAAUGAGAUAUAAAAGCCAUAAAACCACACAAUCAUGUUACCAAUCUAAAAUCGACAUUUCGAAUCUGCUGGUGCAGUCCAUUUUGCCCUCCAAUGCACAAAUCAAUAAAUGUUGACCACAGUCAACUAUAGAGCCUUUAUAACUAUCAAAAACCAUAAUUUCACAUAAAUCAUACCGAAAUACACUAGAAACUAUGCAAAUCAUCCCCACACUCUAGAAAUACCAAAUAGUCAAAUCAUACAAAAAUAAUUAUUUCACAUAAAUCAUAAAAAAAUUGAGUCGUUACAUCAUCCACCACUAAAAAUCUAGUUUAUCCUGGAACUAAAAGCAAAGAAAAUACCUGAGACUGCAAAAAGCUAGGGCUAACUACUACCCAUAUUAAACUCGACCUCCUAAGUAGCCUCCUCUACAGGUAUAUGUCUCCACUGAAUCUUAACCACCGGAAUAUCUCUAGAACACAACCAUCUAACAUUCCUAGCCAAGAUGGAGACAAUCUUCUCAUUAAAAGACAAUCUCUCAUCUAACUUAAUCGAAUCCCAACGAAUGACAUGAGACUCACUCAAAAUGUAACCAGAAGUAUUAAACAUGAAAGACUGGAUGAACAAUUGACAAAUCUGGGAGCAAAGCUAACUAAUAAGCCACAUCACCAAUAGCCCUAAGAAUCUUAAUGACCUAGUAUACCUGGAGCUAAUCUUUCCCCUCUUCCUAAAUCUCAUCAUGCCCUUCAUGGGCGACACACAAAGUAAAACUUGAUCACUAAUACUAAAUUUCAAGGAAUAAAGUUUACAAUCUGCAUAGCACUUUUGUCUACUCUGAGUCACUCUAAGUCUAUCAUGGAUGAUCCGAACUCUAUCCAAUGACUCAUGAAGCAAUUCUGGACCUCGAUGUCUAAUAUCUGAAACAUCAAACCAACCAACUAGAGAGCAAGAAUACCUACCAUACAAAGCCUCAAAAGGAGACAACUCAAUACUGGAAUGGUAGAUAUUAUUAUAUGCAAACUUUUCCAAAGCUAGAUAUUUCUCCCACUGACCACCAAAGUAUAUCACACAUGCAUGGAGCAUAUUCUCCAAAACUUGAAUAGUCCGCUCCAACUGACUAUCAGUUUAGGAGUGAAAAGUUUUACUAAGAUCAACCUGGGUACCUAACUCCUUCUAAAAUGUCAUCCAAAAGUGAGAUGUGAACACUGAACCUCGAUCUGAGAUGAUAGAAACUGACACACUAUGAAGACACAUGAUCUCAUAAAUGUAGAUAUGGGCCAACCUCUCGAUACCAAAGAAAACCUGAACCAAAAUAAAAUAAGCAAAUUUGGUCAACUGAUCCACAAUGACCCAAACACUUUUAGAACUACAAAAAGUAUGAGGCAACCUAGACAUAAAUCCAUAUUGAUCUAUUCCUAUUUCCACUCGAGAAUGGGUAACCUCUAAAGCAAACCACUAGGCCUCAAGUACUCAACUUUCACCUGCUGGUAACAUAGGCAACAAACUACAAAAUCAUCUAUAUCCUUCCUUAUACACCCUACCAGUAAUGGUAUCUCAAAUCAAGUUACAUCUUAGUCACUCCUGGAUGAAUAGAAUACCUAGAACAAUGUGCCUCCUAUAAAAUCAAUCUAAUCCAAUCUCCCACUGUUGGCACACAAACUCGACCUCCAAUCCUCAAAAUACUAUCUAAAUUAAGUGUAUAUUUCUUAGCCUCACCACUCUACAUCGUAUCUUGAAUUACUCCUAACCUGACAUCAUCCAACUGAUGAGCUCGAAUCUUCUCCAUCAGGGAAGAUUUAACCUUCACAAAUGCCAAAAUACAUCCAGCUAUUGAAAUAUCAGGACUAACCAUCUAGUUAUCUAAAAAUUCUACCUCUAAGGCCAAAAGCUUCUUUUGGGUCAAAAGAUGGGCCAAUAUACCCAUGAUUGUCGACUUUCAACUCAAGGCAUUUGCAACUAUGCCUUACCCAAAUGAUAGAGAAUAUUCAGGUAAUAAUCCUUAAGCAACUCAAGCUAACAGCACAACCUCAUAUUAACAUCUCACUGGAUGAAGAAGUACUAAAGACUAGAAUGAUCCAAAAAAAUAUCACAAUGAAUCCCAUAUAUUAUAUAAUCCAAAUGGCCUCCAAAUUAUUAUAAAGGAUUUUUAUGGCUCAAGAGGCACUUGAAUACUCCUUGGUGAUAUCCAAAAUGUACCAAUUUUAUGAUUAUAAUGAUUGAGGAUGUUCGAGGGAUGUUAAAGAGGCCAAGGGAAGGUAAAAUGGGGCUAAAAAGCCCCCGAAAGAGGACAUGCACCCCAUCCGCUUUGGAGGUGCAUGCCCAAACCACUCUAGACCUAUUGGAGCGGGUUAAAAUAGACCAUAUGCCUUGAAUAUAUGCCUUUUGUGUGCCCCAAAUGCUUAUGUGGAUUCUUAGUGAACUUCUAUGCUUUGUAUUUCGUAAAUGGGUCACUUUUGGGCCCAUACAAUGUAAUAGUUAACUCUAGACUAUAAAUAGGGCCUUAGACAUUUCAUUUCCUUAGUUAUUGAUGAAUUAUAAAUGUACACUCUUAUGAGAGUGAGAGAGAAAUAUGGAAUCGCUUGUGUUGAUCUUUCGUUUAGAAACGAGUGUUGCUUGGGAAUCUGAUUUCUUUGUUGUCUACGUAGGAGUUAGGUGCUUUGUUUGACAUUGAAUAGAGGUUUAGAUUUUGUUUUCUAUUCAUUCGUCCAUUGUGUCUAUCUAUUACUUGUUCUCUAUCUAUCUUUAUCUUUCAUAUUCGUAUCUUUGCUUAGUUUUUAAUUUCGAAGUUUGUUUUCAUAUCAUUUGGUAUAAGAGAAUCUUGGGUUUGUUAUGUAAAAAAUUUUUAAAAAUGUUUAAAAUAAAAAUCCCUAAACUUUUUUUGUAUUUUUGAGUCCUUUUUGUUGUUUGUAUGCUAGAUUUAUUCCCUCUAGUGUUGGGUUAGAACCUUGAGAUUUGUGACUUGAUUGUGUCAUGUGAGAAAAUCCCACCAUUGUUAACUUAAAAUUGAGGUUGAAGAAGUUGAAAAAGUGUUCUCAACAUUGAAAGAAGCUUAGGGUUAAGAGAUUGUGUCAUUUGGAGAGGUUUGAAAAAUUCACCAUUUCUACAAUUUUGAAUGUUGAAGAAAAUACAAGUGAGUUUGAAAAUCUGAAAAAUUUAGGUGUUUUUUAGUGCUAAAGUUUGUUGAAAUGUUUUCCUUAUGUUUACGAGAGCCUACGCUUAAAAUUUAGUGAAAUUUCAAGCCAAAAUGAAGAAGUGCAUUUUGGAUUUUCAAAAUUGUUCUUGGUGUUCUUGAGAAGCUUCAUAUCUUCAUUUUGAAUCUUCAUAAAAAAUUUAUUGUUUAAUCCAAGAAAGAGAAGGAAAGGGAGUGAAAAAGUAUUGGUACGAAGACUAUCCAAAGUACCAAGAAAUAUUCCAAGAGAAGAGGACAAAAGAGGGACCAUAAAGGGGCAUUAUCGCCUAUUCAAGAGGAUGGUUCGGUUGACCUACGCUUGAGGUGCCUUUGAUCUGUACCUAACUUGCUAAAGAAGGUCAGAGGCAGACCAAAACAAUAACUCUUGUGCCCCACCUACUCUAGAGGUUUGCUAGGUCUACUCCUGAUCCGCUAUAGCUUGCUCUAAGUGCAUGUAAAGCCUUCCAGUUCACUUUUUGCAAGGUUCCAUCAAUCUAACUUUAUUUUUUGAUUCUUAACUUCAUAUUUUGAUUCUUAAAAACUAGAUAACACUAAUAAUUUAUAUAUUAGCUGAUUAAUUAGUUCUUGAGUCCAAUUUCUUUCUUGUCCGUUCUUUUGUGCUUCUCUCUAUUGUUUUCAUUGAACCUUCUUGAUUUAACUAUGAUAGUUUGUGUUUGAGUUUUAUUUUAAAUUUUAAACAAGAAUUCAUUCCGAUCACAAGACAAAAUUGGUACCAAGAAAUCUCAUUGGAGUAUAAAUGAUCUAUCAACACUUGCAACGGCAAUUGAGAGAUGAAAUAAGGUGAGAACUUCAAGAGCUUGUGAGGUUAAUUUCUCUAACACUAACGUGUUUGUUGUCUUUAUCACUGUAUUUAUUCAUAGGUACAAUGGCUACAUAAGGAUAAACAUCACAAACCAUGGAUAACAAUACCUCGAAUGCUAUAUUAGUGGUCCUUGAAGCUCUCAACCAUAAAUUUGAAUCCUUUGAAUCUAAGAUAGAUAACAUGUAUGGGUGGAUAGAUAACAUGAUAGAUCAUCUAAACUUCCCUAAGUCCACCCUUUCUAAUCCACUAAACUUUCAAGCUUCCUUGAGUUUCCAUGCUCAAAAUACCUUCCUUAAACUACCCCAAAUUCCAUAAAGCCAAAUUUAACCCAAUUAAGUUGAGGAUGAAGGGAAAGGGAAAGCUAAGAAUGGGAAUAAGAAUUGGCUUAAGAAGGAGAGUCAUGUAAGAAUGUUGAUCCAAUAAUUAAAUUGAAUGAGGUCCAUAAGCCAACGCUUCCAAAGGAUGAUUCAAAAAAGACCUCUCAUGAGCAUAAGUUCAAGGACUCCAAGGUUGAUGAAGACUUGAUAGAAAGUAGGAACCUAAUCAAACUCUUAUGGGUCGAUGGUAUAUUAUUAUAAGAAGUGAAUCAUCUAACCCCAUGGAUCGAAAGAAGGAGUUAUCUCCAAAGGAACAAAUAGGCAAAAGAAUCAAGCAUAUUGGUCCAAGUUGAUGCAUGGAAAGAAAGAUCCUUAUAAAGCACCUAUGGAGGACAAGAGAAUAACUUCAAGGUAUUUCUUCCAAGGUAUAUACCUACUCUUUUCUAGUCCUAGUAAUCCUUGGAUACAUGAUGAUAUUUUCCUCAUAUUGAAUAAAACCGUAAAAUUGAUAGAUAUCAUGACACACCAUGAGAGUAUUAUUGUCUUUAUGAUUCCUUUAUAGUGUUUGCCUUUGGUGCUUGUAUUGUAUGGGCCUUGCAUUCUCGAUGCCCAAUCUAUUUGUUUCUUAGGAAAGGGUCCUUGGUAUGUACUUGAUGUACAACUUUGGUUUCCUAAUCCUUGUCACACUUGUGUGGUUGGACAAGUUUAGGUAAUAGGAAGGACUCUUAGGAACAUUAUAAGUACCAUGAAAAGAAGUCACCUAACUUCUUGGGUAUGCCCUGGUUUGGAGUGAAUUAGUUUCUCACGAAUUCCCUAAUUUCUCUAAUAGAAUAAUUCUCUUGGUGAUGCACUCUUGUCGGAAGUUGCUUGAAGAUAAAAGAUGUAAUGUGUUUUAAUUACCUUGUCUCACCUUAUUAUAUACUCAUGUUUGAGGGUAAUUUAGAUGAGAAUGGUGUCCUUAACUCUAUUCUUUUCUAUCUUUUUGCUUAUAAUGAUGACUAUGUUUGUGUUGAAAAUGCAUUUUUUGUGAACAUAGAUUGUUUUGAAAGGAAGGAUGAUGUGCAUCCUAAUGACUUGACUCCAUCCUUGGUUGUUCCAACUUCUAGUUAUUUGAUUACUAUCUUUCUGGAGUACCUUGCUAUUAUUAAGUAUGGAAACACCUUGUAUGGGAAUCAUCGUCUUUAUAUCAUUCUUUACUACCUCUUAGUAUUUGAUGACAUCCAUGUUGUUGUUGAAUUUAUUUUAUAUAGAGGUAGGAGUUCUUGGGUAUGGUCUUUUGGUGAAAUAAUGAAACACUUCUAUCUCACAACCUUGGUAGUUUCCUUGUUUUAUAAUGCUUCUUAUUGCCAAGUUUUUGUAUCUUAAAUGAUGAAUUCCCUUCUAUUAACUUAAAGAAUGCCUUGUUAUAUGUGAAAUGGGUGUCUCCUUGGAAUGGAUGUUUUGAUUUUAACCCUCUUGCCUCAAGUAUAUAUUGGUCAUGUGUUCUCCUCUUGUGUUUAAAGGUUGUAGAUUCGAGGAUGAAUCUUCUUCAAGAAGGAGAGCAUGAUACAAUCUAAAUGGCCUCUGGAUUGUUAGAAAAUAUACUUAUGGGUCAAGAGGCACUUGAAGACUUAUUGGUGCUAUCCAAAAGGUGCCAAUAGGAUGAUUAUGAUUAUCGAGGAGGGUCGAGGGAUGUUAAAAGGCCAAGCGAAGGCAAAAUGAGGCUAGAAAGACUCCGGAAGAGGAAAUGCGCCCCAUCCUCUUUGGAAGUGCACCCAACCCACUCUAGAUAUACUAGAGCGGGUCAAAACAACCCACAUUCCAUGAAGAAGCGUCCCAAAUGCUUAAGCGGAUACUUAGUGGGCUUCUAUGCUUUGUCUUUGCCAAAUGGGUCACUUUUGGGCCCAUAUGAUGUAAUAGUUGCCCUGAACUAUAAAUAGUGCCUUAGAUAUUUCAUUUCCUUAGUUAUUAAUGAAUUAUGAAUGUAUACUCUUUUGAGAGUGAGAGGCAAGCAUGGAAUUUCUUGCGUUGAUCUUUCUUUUAGAAAUGUGGGUUGCUCGAAAAUCUGAUUCCCUUGUGGUCUACGUAGGAGUUAGGUUCUUUGUUUGAUAUUAAAUAGAGGGUUAAAGGUUUGAUAUACCUUUAGUUUUCUAUUCAAUUAUCCAUUAUUUGUAUCUAUUACUUGUUCUCAUCUAUAUUUAUUUUUCGUAUUCGUAUCUUAGAUUUUUGAUUCCGUAGAUUGUUUCCAUAUCAUUACAAGUAGUGCCUCCACCACUUCAAAGCAAAAACAACCAUGUACAACUCUAAGUUGUGGGUAGGAUAAUUCCUUUCUUAGGGAUUCAACUGACGAGAAGCUUAUGCAAUCACUUUAUCCUCCUACAUCAACACAACACCUAACCUAACACCCAAUGCAUCACAAAAAAUGGUAAAACCCACACCCUCCAAGGGUGAAGUCGAGAUAGGAGUUGAUGUCAACAAAUUCUUGAGCUUUUGAAAGCCCACCUUACAAGCAUUGGACCACUGAAAAGAAAUCUUCUUCUGAGUCAACUUGGUCAAUGGAGUUGCAAUAGAUGAAAAAACCUCAACAAAAUAUCGAUAGUAACUUGCUAAGACAACAAAACUCCGAAUUUUAGUAGGCGAAGUAGGCUUAGACCAAUCACGAACCACUGCAAUCUAGGAUGGAUCAACAAUAAUACAAUUAUUUGUCACCACAUUACCCAAGAAAGAAACAAACUUCAACCAAAACUCACACUUGGAGAACUUAGCAUACAACUUGUCAUCUCUCAAUCUCUGAAGCAUAAUCUGCAAAAACUCCUCAUGAUCAGCCUCACUCUUGGAAUAGACCAAGAUAUCAUCUAUGAAUACAAUAACAUAAGAGUCGAGAUAUGGUCAAAAUACCAGGUUCAUCAACUCCAUGAAUGUAGCUGGGGAAUUGGUUAAUAAAAAUACAUGACCAAAAAUACAUAAUGACCGCACUGAGUUUGAAGGUUGUGUUUGAAAUAUCCAUAGCUAUAAUCCUAAUUUGGUGAUACCUGGACCUUAAAUCAAUAUUCGAAGACACUGAAGCACCCUGAAGAUGAUCAAACAAAUCAUCAAUAAAAGGAAAAAGAUACUUAUUCUUAACUGUCACCUUGUUCAACUAGCUAAAAUAAACACACACAUGCAUAGACGCAUCAUUUUUCAUCACAAACACGACAAGCACAACCCAAGGUGAUACACUAGGUCAAAUAAAUACUUUAUUCAAUAAUUUUUGCAACUAAUCUUUUAAUUUCUUUAACUCUACUGGGAAUAUCCUAUAUGGAGGAAUAGAAAUGGGCUUGGUGCCUAUCUCAACAUCAACAGAGAAGUCAAUAUCAUGAUCCGAAGGCAUAACAAGCAAAUUCAUAGAGAACACAUCCAAAAACUCACGAACAACAAAAAAAAUCCAAAGAAGAAGGCAAAACUGUAAGACCCCUCAAAGUUCUCUCGUAGUCUGAUCCUUAGAACAUCUCAAGUGAAGUGUAAUUCUGGCCUUAAGAGAUCAAGAAUUGACUUCCAAAGUGGGAAAUAUUUUAAAACAUGUAGAAUUUCCCUAAUAUCGACUUUUUGUCAUGUAGAGAAUUGAAUAAUCUUUCCAUCGAUACCAAAUUCUCCUAAAUCCAACACUUAGGCAAAGAGUUAGAGCCAUUUUAGUGAGACAGUGUGCCACCUUACACUUUGACGCGUCGCCGAGCCAGCCAAAAUGGCAAUUGUCAAUUCCAGUGAUCCUCCAUGAUUCCACCACAUCGCGAUAUCUUUUCAGUUCACAAACAAGGUGGCAACGCGAUUUCCACCGUAUCGCGCCAAGGCUCAGUUUCCCAAUUGUCCAAUUUUUAGUAAGCUAGCGCGAUUAUGGCGCGUCGCACCAGCACGUAAAAUCAAGAUUUUUCUAGUUCUAGAUUUUAAUUCCAAGAGAAAAAAGUGUCCUAUAUCAACCCCUAUAUAUACUCUUUAACACGAGAUUCAACACAUUUACAGCCAAAUAUUAUUGGUUUCUCUCAAUUUUCUUCAAGAACAAGACCUAGGAUUUCUAAUCCAAGACCCAAAUCAUCAAGGUUUCACCGUGAAUCUUUCAAUAAUUGAAUAACAAGGUAUAUUAGAUAUUGAUUCUUGGGUUCUUUCCACCCAAGAAGUUCAAGAAUCCUUUUCUAAAUUCAAAGAUCUUAUAUUUAUGAGUUUUCAUGAUUUAUGUGAAUUGAAAUUAAAGUUCAUGUUAUUAUGGAAUUUUAAUUCAUGAUUUAGACUAUCAAUUUCAAGAGUUGAGUCUAGUAUGUGAUGAAUUGUAUGAUGUUUAUGAUAAACCCUGUCCAAGUUGCAUGAUAUUGAUGUAUUCAUGAUGAUUAAGUAUAGAAUCUACGGUAUAACUAAAGCAUGCUCCCUAUAUGUUUGAUAAAAUGCUUAUGUGAAGAAAUUAGAGCCAUUAUAGCAUGUUGACUAGAAAUCCCCAAUUGUGUGUAAGUUCAUGCAUGCCAACUGUUUGUUGAAAAGCCUUAGUGAAUGAAUGGUGAUAUGUUAGCAUUAAAUUCCCAAAUUAUGUGCUCUUCAAUGCUUGUAAAAUAUCUGUUGUUAGAUCUUGUUUAAUGGAGUACGAGACAGUAGCAUGUCUCCCUAUACUAUUACAUGUUUAUGAUUUUUCUUGAAGAGAUGAUUUAAUGAUUGUAAUGGUGAAUGAAAGUCCAUGGUCAUGAUUAUUUAAGAUGAUUAUGUUUUACUUGUAUGUUAUCGAGUCCUAGGGUUAAUUAUACCAGAAAAUUUAGCUGUAAGUCUAGAGCCCAUGUCAGUUUUCACGAUAAUCUCUGUCAAGUCAUGAUUCUUAGAACUCAGUCAGUUACAGAAUUCAGUACUCUCACAUAGUUACAAAACUUUAGAAAUCUCAGUAAUCCAAGUAUCAUUAGCAUUCCAGCUUUAGUUCAGUACUCAGCUCAGAUCUUAGUAGUAUUCAAUACUCAGUUCAUACCUUAGUAGUAUACCAUCAGUUAAUGGAACCAAGUGAAUUCAGUCAGAUCAGUCAAGAAAUAUGAACAGUAACAGAUUCAGCUUAGUCUAGUAUAGUCUAAGAAUUAGUUCAAUGUCUAUUUAGUUGGAAGUAGGAUUCAGCAUCGAGUGAGGGUAGGGAUGGCGGCUUUGCCGUUCUUUAGGUAGAGUCAUUAAUAGCAAUCCCUAUACCUCUAGAACUGCGUAGCCAGUGCAAGAUGAGGAGUCACUUGUUAUAUUAGGCUUGACUACCUCCUAGGAUUCACCCAUUAUAUUAGGCUUGGCUCCAACCAGGUGUCACCCGUUAUAUUAGGCAUGGCAUCCUGGGUUUAGACAGAAGUGUCUUUACCCGCGGAACGCUAUUAACACCCUUCCAACUGGGGCACAGGUUGGACCCCAACGAGCUAAAAGGGGCAUAUCGAUUAGAUGACUACCUCCCAAGAUCUUAGUUUUAGAUUCAGUCUUAGUAAUAGAAGUCAGCUGAGGAGUCACCCGUUAUACUAGGCUUAACUACCUCUCAGAGAUCACCCGUUAUAUAGGAUUGAUCUCAGAUUCAGAUAAUCAUAUUCAAUAUCAGUAGACUUAGAGAUCACCCAUUAUAUAUGGUUGAUCUCAGAUUCAGAAAAUCAUAUUCAAUAUCAGUAGAGUCAGAGAUCACCCAUUAUAUGUAGGCUUGAUCUCAGAUUCAGACAAUCAUAUUCAUUAUCAGUAUACUCAGAGAUCACCCAUUAUAUAGGCUUGAUCCUAGAUUCAGUUUAUCCAGUAUCAGAUAUCAUUACCAGUAAACUCAGAGGUCAUCCGUUAUAUAGGCUUGAUCUAAGAUAUAGUAAAUUAGUAUCAGUAUCAGCAGGAUUAGACAUCAAUCUCAAUAGACUCAGUUAUUUAGUCUCUCAGUAUUAGUAAAAUAAGACAUCAAUUGUAGUAAACUCAGUCAUCAGUAAGUCAGUAUUCAGAAACCCGUAUUCAGAGUUCGAAUUAGUGUUACUGUGAUUCUAAUUUUGGUUUAUGUAUUCAUGCAUAUGUCCUCCUUCAGUACUCUCAUGUUAUUCAGAUAAGUAACUGUUCAUGGAUAAGCCCUUGCAUUUAGCCUUACUUCAUCUAGCAUACCAGUACAUUAAAAGUACUGAGGCAUACUUUUCUCUUGUGCUAUGGUGUCUUAUACCAUAGGUUCAGAAGCGCAAGAUCCAGAGCACCCUUAGUAGUCCAGACUCAAUCUGCAGUAGUAGACGUAGUAGUGAGUCCUCUUCAUUCGAGGAUAAUCCUUAUUUUAUUAUGACAUUAGAUUCAGUUUAUUAUUAGUAAAUGGAGUUAGUUGGGGACAUGUCCCAUCAUCUCCACAGUUCAGACAGUUAAAGGUUUUUCGGAUAGAUGUAUUAGUAUUCAGUUUUCAGUAUUGAUUAUUUUAGAGGUUUUGAACCUUAUGGCAAGUUUUCCUCCCAUUUUCCAUAUUUUUCAAUAUUUUUAUACAGUUAUUACAACAGGUACCAGAUAAGGGUUAGCUUGUGGUCCUUCGAGAUUAUGAGCACUGUGUGGCAUUCCGAUUCUAGAAAAUCGAGGCAUUACAGAAACAACACUAGUAUCAUGAAUAUGAUCCAAAUAAGAUAGGCAUCCCCUCUCAACCAAGAGACGAGCCUGAAUAAAGGAUAAAACUCUCUUGGAACUCGAAUAAAGUGCACCUUUCCAAGCUAUCCUUGGAACACUCGGUAGAGAUAAAGUCAUAAUCUUAGCAUAAUAAUCUAGGACAACAUGGUAAGGAACCAACCAAUCUAUACCUAAGAUGAUGUUGAACUCUAUCAUAUCUAAGACAAUUAGAUCUACCCAAGUCUUAUGGCAACAAAAGUCAUAACAUAGGAUCGGUAUACUCGAUCCACCACUAAAGAGUCUCCUACAGAGGUAGAUACAUGGAUAGGCAAGGCAAGAGACUCAUUGGUAGAAUCAAAACCCAAAGAUGCUGAACCAAAAUACCCACUACUUGAACUCUAUAACAGUAUCUAAACGGGUCUACCAUGAUACUUGCAAAAACAUCUAGAAUCUCUACCUCGAGAGAUGUGAUCUAUGAACUCACCUUAAUGAUGCACCUUAUUGGUGCCUCCCCAUAAGAUACUCAAAGAAUAGACUCAUUCAUCUUAUCUACAUCUACUAUACUCUAAAAUGGUCCUCCAUACACAACCAUCUGAGUCAUAGCUAGCUAAAGAGAAACAUCUAACCCCUUUAAAAACUUCUAAAUAUUCUCAAAUGUGAUGGCAAUGCAGGUAUAAGAAUACCUAGAUAAGGCAUAAAAAAGUGCCUCAUACUCCAUUAAAGUCAUAGAGUCCUGCUUCAUGCGAUUAAACUCAUCUCUCCUCUGGCCCCCCAGACUAUAAGGAACAAACUUCUCCAAAAAAGGCCUCAACAAACCAAUUCCACGUCAUCUUUGGAGAAUUAAGAGGUAUGCAACUAACAAGUGAACUUCACCAACCUGUAGUUGCAUCUCUCAAUUGGUAUGUAGUACAAGAAACCCUAUGCGACUCAAGAGAACCAAGGUUAUGCAUCUUCUCCCUACAACCAAUCAAGAACUCCUAGGCAUUCUCGCCCAUAGCACCACUGAACCUAGAAGGACUCAAAUGAGUAAAUCUCUAAAACCUCUUCUGAUCCUCAAAAGACAUAACUGUACUCACAAUAAUAGGAGGCAUAGUGAAUUUGGCAGGCUGAGAUCCCACCUAAGGAGAUAACAUAGAUGAAAGCAGAACUCUUGACCUCAAAAUACCAUACUCAAAUACUGUCAUAGAAGGACACACUCAAAGUCUAUGGAGUACUAUAAGCAAAUGUCAGUACCACAGAAGGAUCUACACUCAAAAUCGAAGGAGCACCAUGUACAUUUGCACAAAAGAUAAUUAAGUAUAAUUUAGAAUGCAAGAUACGAAAGGAACCGCACAAUAAAGAACAAUAUAAAAGAAGUUUCCUAAAGAUAUCUUAUAGCCUUUUGAAGAUAGAUAUAGACAUCUACGUAUCAAUCUAUGAGACUUUAUUAGAUACCUCAUUCUUACACUAUUGAGACCAAUGAAACUGGCUGUUCUAAUACUAAUUUUUCAUGACCCAAAAACCUAGGGUUAUCAUGGAACUUGUGGCAAAAAAUCCUUAACAAUUAAGCCUAACAAUCAAAUCGAUGUAACAAGGAAAUCAAUACCAAAACCCAAGACAAGUCUUUUAGAUCAAAGCCAAGCCACACAAACAUGAUAAUAGCAGAAAUAUAAACAAAUAUACCAAACCAAAACCCGAAGCCUGAUGUCAUAGUGUAAGAACUACUAACUAUAACUCAAAGGUCAAGAGAUAUAAUAAUAGUUCAAAAUGAUCAAGACUCUAUCUCUGAAAAUAAAAUAAUACAUGUAAUAGAUAGGAAGAGGUAGUAGGACAAUACUUGAAUCAUAGGAUGCCCACUACCUUGAAUACUCCAAAAGUCACCCGAAUCAUCUAUCUAUAUAGCACACUCAUACCUGGAUCAAAACUAAAAGGGUGUAGUAGGGAUGAGUAUGGUACACUUGUACUUAGUAGGUAUCAUCAACUGACUGAGUAAAGUAGAAAAUAAAGCAUAUAAACACAAACUAUGAGUGUGUCACUUGCAAUCAGAAAAUGUCCUAAAUGGUAGCCUAGACGGUCUCUACUAGCAGUUCUAAUAUACACAUAUAUAACAAAUACAUGUAGAGAAAAGAAUAAAAAAUAUACAAGUACAUCAAAUACAAGUAUAGGAAGAUAGGACAGAUGGAUAGAUAUCAAAUCAAAGACGGAAAUACAAUCACAACAUAAGCAUAAUAUAUGAAGUGCAAUGAAGAUGAUGAUGAUGAUGUGAUGCAUGAGGUUGUCGCACAACCUCCAUAUUUACCUAUAGAGAUAAAGCUUCCCAAUGUAGGACUCAUAUGGGGUCCGUCAACCCCACUAAUAACUAUAUCUGCUCUACAGCAUAGACAUCGGUAGAGGAUUUUUAUGAUGUCAUAUUUUUUGUUAGAAAAAGCCAGUGUUUUCAGUAUUUUUAUGGUGGUAUCAAUGUUUUAUAAAUGAAUAUGAUAUGAGGAUUUAAUGAUCACAACCAAUCAAGAUGAGAAUAUCCAAUAUCCCACCAAUAUACCAACCAUGUGAGUUAAAAUUCCACAUAAAUAAACCAACCAUCCAUGAUCCAAAAUAAUUUCGAAAACAAUCAAGUAAAACAUGCAAGAAAGUAUUAUUGAUACCACAUAAAUCCCAAAAUCUGGGCUUUUUACAUCAAAAAAAAGUGCAACCAAACAUACAUAUAUCAAUAUUAGGCUACUAACAUCAUAUAAGACUCCACACGAUCACACAUAGAAAAUAAUGUCUUAAAUUAUCAAAUAUAUCCACAUAGGCCCUCACACCGGCACUCAAAUCACCUAAACACAAUUUCUAUUAUAAAACCUCGUACCCAUAGCAUAUUUUUAUAUUAUUAUUAACUACCAAACCCAGUCUGAAGAAAGAUAAGUCAUAACCUACCUUAAAUAUCAAAAAUUGAUCCAAAAAUCCUUAAAUCCUGAGAUUUUCCCUUAUGAGAAAAUCCAAAAUAAACUAAAACAUGUGAAUAGAGAAACUACCUUUUGAAAGAAAAACAACGAUAUGUAUAUUGCCUAUUUUUGAAUCAGGGUCAAAACGGACUCAGAAACGAAUUUGUAAAAUAGAAGAAUAAAAUUAGAAUUUUAUUUUAGAAAUUUAUUCCCACACUCCUAGGAGUCUAUAGCAGAAAAUUCAUGCAAAAAUGAGUGAAAAUCGAGGUUCAAAUCCAAGAACCUCGAAAUCUAUUUUGAAAUAACAAAUUUGAAUUUAUUAGAAUAUGAAAUCGAUAGAAAAAAAAGUAUCAAUACAAGAUUAGAAACUUACCCAUGGAAGAAAUCUUGAAAAACCCCUUUGGAAUCAUCCAAAUCUGAGCUCCCAAGCCCUAAAAAUGAUAAAAAUUAGGUUUUGAUUCUCAACUUAGAUGGAAAUCAUGAUAAAUAAUAUAGAAGUUCUUUGAAAAUGGGGAAAAUAGUGUUGUAAAUUUAUAUACAAUGAUUUUAUGAGAAAAAUACAUAUAAAAUCAUCAAAAUCGGAGUUUCCUAACUCCAAAAAUGUUAAAAAUAUGAAAUGGAUUUGAUUUGGGUCUUAACUAUCAGCGAUGGCCACUAAAGAGGCACUUUAAAGUGGUCAGCAUCAAUGGACACUAAAGAGGCACUUUCAAGUGGUCAGUCAUCCACUUUAGUGCCUACACCAGUACCAGCAAUUCUCAAAAUUUAUUUUUGACCCCAAAAACUCAUUCAAAAUCUACGAAAAUGAUCCAAUAAAGAAAUUUAAUUUUAAAACACAUUUCAUAUCUGAAGGAAUCAUUAAAUUUAUGAAAAAAUUUCACUAUCGCAAAAUUGACCCCUGGGAUCCUAUUUACACUAUUUUUGAAUCAACGGUCAACAUAGGAUCUAAAGGCCAUGAAACUGAACCAACCUUACUACUAACCCAAAUUUGACAUUCUAGAUCCAAUGGCAAUAUCAUAUUUUCAAAAAAAUAUUCUUUUCAUAAAACUGACCCUCGAGACCUAAUUUCACAACUUUUUGAACCAAGAGUCAAAAUGAGAUAGCCAUAAAACCACACCAAUCAUGUUGCCAACCUAAAAUUAAUAUUUUGAAUCUGCUGGCACAGUUUAUUUUACCAUCUGACACACAGAUUAAUAAAUAUUGACCAAAGUCAACUAUAGAACCUUUAUAACCAUCUAAAACCAUAAUUUCACAUAAAUCACACGAAAAUGCAUUAAGAACUAUGCUAAUCAUUCUCACACCCUAGAAAUACCAAAAAGCAUCCAUGGGAAGGGAUAAAAUGGUCAAAUCAUGUAAAAAUAAUUAUUUUAGAUAAUUCAUCAAAAAAUAAGUCGUUAUAGGUAAUCUAUACAUAUGGAGAGGGGAACCAUCUUUCUUAUGCACAAAGAGUAUUAGACACCCCAGGGGGAGGCACUAGGUUGAAUAAAACCUUUAUCAAGAAGGUAUCUUAACUAUUCCUUUAUUUCAUUCAAUUUCUCAAGAGCCAUUUUAUAUGAAUUGAUGAAAAUAGGAUGGGUGUCAAGUAAUAGGUCAGUCUAAAAGUCUAUCACCCUAUCUGAGGAAAUCCCAGGGAGUUCAUCUGAAAGAUUUUUGGGAAUUCAUUAACUACAAGGACUAACUAGAGAAAAAGAUUAUUUAACCCAAACAAGAUAGUACAAACAACCUUUUGAUAUGAGCUUAUGGGCUCUAAGAUAAGAAAUGAAUAUCCCUUUAGUUUUUAAGGAAUUUUCCUCCCAUUCUUUGACUGGUUUGUUAGGAAAAUAGAAUAUAGCCUUUUUAGUUCUACAAUAUAGGGUAGAAUAAUAAGAAUGAAGCUAAUUUAUCCCUAGGUUCACAUAAAAUUUUACCAUGUCAAUCCUUAUAAGGAUAACCAUUGUCUUUCGAUGAAAUAUAGACACCACACAAUUUCUAUAAACCCUCACAGCAAUCACAUAAUCACCAACAAGGGUUGAGGCUAAGAAGGAUUCAAGAAUACUUUUAGGAUUAAAACCAAAACUCACUGCUACAUAAGGGGUCACAUAAGACGAAGUAUAUCUGGGGUCAAGUAUCACAUAAACAUCACGGGAGAAAAUUUUUAGCGUACCUGUAACAACUUUUGAGGAGUCUUUUGAGUCCUAGAGAGUGGAUAAGGCAUACAGAUGGUUAUAAUCUAUGCUCGCUCCAAAAGUAUUCCCCUUAGUGGCUAGGGUGAAAGAAGAAGUAGUUGGGUCUUUACUGCCUCAGAAGGUUCCCCUCACGGAGGGGCAAUCUCUUUAGAAGUGGCUUGGUUGUCCAUAAGUGUAGCACACAUGACUACCAUAUUGACACAUUUUGGGGUGAUUCUUUCCAUAAGAAUCGUAGUGAGUGUAUGGGUUAAUGGGUUGAGCCACACUACCCUGAGACUGAGUACCCACAGCCCUAGGCCCAUUUUUAGGCAGAAAUUGUUGAUUACCGAAUGGUUCUAGAAUAGGUUCACUAGCUGACAUUCUAGAUUUUUUUAGCACAUUUAAGACUUUUUAACAUGAAAUAAUUGUAAGUUCUUAAGUAAUUAUUGGUGUUUUUGAUGUUAUUUCUUAAGAUUUUAUAGGAAAGUCAAGAUGCAUGGAAAUAAAUAACAAUGGAGUAAAAGAGCUGAAAUUUGAGCAAAAAGAGCUGAAGACAUAGUUGACGACAACCGUGAUAAGUCGUCAGCCUUGUGAUGGGCUAUCAGAUUGGUGUCAGCCUUAACCAGAGAGUUAUAGUUUGAGAAGCAGUUCUGACGACAUUGGUGAUGUGGCAUCAAAGUUUUGAUAAGGCAUCAAUAAGGGCGUCAGCCUUAAGAAGAGAAUUAGCAAAAGGAGAAGACAUCUGAUGACGACAGUGAAACGCCAUCAGAUCUGUGAUGCGGCGUCAGUAACAUUGUCGGCUUUAGAAAGAACUUGAAGACAACUGGAGCUAAUUUGACACCAUCCGUGAUAAGGCAUCAGACCCUUGAUGUGGCAUCAUCUAGGGCGUCACCUAAUCUGAUAAUUUUAUUUAUUUUGUUAUUUUAAUUCCAUAAUUAAGUUUAGGUAUAAAUAGAAGUUUUGAGGGUUUUAUUCAGGAUCUCUCAAUCUUGUUUUUGGAACUGGGGAGGAACGUACAUUGCCUCAUCUUUUUCAUCAAGUAUUUUUCUUGUUUUCCCUUCAACACUUAUCAACUAUUGUGGAUUAUUCUAUUGUGAUUCAAUUGAAGAAACAAUUAUUGUUUUCACCCAUUCAUAAGUUUAUCCAUACUAUCAUGAAUUAAACUUUUUAUUUCAUUCAUUGAAUCAUGAGUGGCUAAUUCCUUUAGCCCGAGUUAUGGGAUCCAUGGAUUAGGGUUUGAUAUACUGCUAGGUACUUAAAGAGUUCAAAGAGUAGUAGGACCUUUUGAAAUUCUAUUGUUUUAACUUAAAAUCUAUUGGUUGCAAACAAUAGGUUAUGCCUUAUGUUUAUUUUCUUGAAUAGAGAAAUAGACUAGAGGACGUGAAUUAUCAACAGGGACUCGAAAUCUACCAACCUUCAAUUUAAUGAUUAAUGUCAUAACUGGAUUAAUCUACCUGAGAUAACUUCCUAUUGGAAAUAGAUAAGUUAUCCAAGUUUGAGAGAAUUAAAUAAUAAAUUUUCUGGUGAGGUCGAGAGAUAAGUCAGAUAGUAUAGUCGUCAGGGAUAUUCUACUAUUCCUACUUACUUCAAGAGUCUUAAGCAGUACCUAGUAUCUGUCAAUUCCCGAAACCCACAGUAAACAUAACUCUGGUUUUCCAUUUAUAUUGAUUACAAACAUUAAUACUAAAAACCCAUUUUAUAUUUUUGUAUCAUUUAUUUGAAUUUAACUUGUAGCUAUAGUUUCAAACUAGUUUAAUCGCCACUCAGAUUGUUUCCUAUGGAUUCGACCCUGACUCCAAAGUUGGGUAAAUGUAUUAAUGAUGAACGCCUUACACUAAUUUGAGGUUUAAGUUGAGUGUUAUCAAAAAUGGCACCGUUGCCAGGGAACAAUUUGGCGUAUUGAGUUGGUUUGGAAUUUUACCUUACUUGCUUGAAUUCGAACAUGUAAAUAUUUGUUUGUGAUUUUUUUUGUUUCGUGUGUUAGGUAGAUUUUCUUUAUUUUUUAUUAUUUCUUUCUAUGGCAUCAUGGAAUGAAUGUGAGUUUGAUGGUUGGAAAUCUUAUCUGGAUGAUCGAUGUCCAUAUUGUGAUGGACCCUACUUUUGGCAUGACUAUAGAUAUUCUCCUCGGAGAGAGAUGUGUGCACCAUAUCCAUACUACCGGGAGUAUAAUUUUUCUUUAUGUGGUGGUCAAGAUGGACAUUGGAGUGAUUGCUCAAAUUCUCCCUCCCCCUAUUGUGCUAACCCAAGUUCUAUUUCUUCUUAUGAGUAUGACAGGUCUUAUGGUCAAGAAAAGGAAAAAUGUAGCACUGGAAAUAGUGACAUUAAAGCUAUACUUCAACUAAUAUUGGAUCAUACAGACACAACGAAGGAUACCAUAUGUGACAUAUCACAAUACAUUAGGUCAUUUAACGAGGGAAGAGAAAGGAUAGAAGAGAUGGAUAUCGAGGUCAAUCAUCCAAAACACUUUUCUACAUUAUGUUUACAUGAUAUCUUAUUUGUGAAAUUAUUUAAAAUAAUGGAAGAGUUUGACGAUGAAGAGCAAGUUUACUAUACUGAUGAUGAGCUUUAUGUUAAUCAACCCUUGGAGAUUUCCCAACCAACUGAGCCAACAAUGAGGGAUGAUUCCAAGAUUGAGAAAAUAGUGCUAGAGGCAAAAGAAGAAGCCAAUCCAAUCUCUUAUGAAGACUCUAGACCAAUUCAAAGUAAAAAUGUUGAGAAGAUGAAUAAAAGUGAGUAUGUAAAGGAUAUUGUAAAUUUUGAAGUAGGAUUUGUUAGGCCACACUCGAAGCAUUUUUCCGCAUUAUGAUUAGAUGAUAUCUUGUAUGUGGAAUCAUCUAAAAUAGUGGAAGACUAUGAACAUGAGGAACAAGAAUCCUAUAUUCUUUAUUUUACACUUGAUAAGCAACACAAAAACACACCUCACUUUAAAGCUGAGCUAUUUACCAUGUAUCAUCCCUUACUCGACUUCUUAAUCUUUGUACCACCUCCCUAUAAGUGAGGAAAGAAGAUGGACUCUAAGCUGGGGGUGAAGUUCAUAUCCUCAAGAUGGAGGAAAAAGCUGAGUUGGGUCGUGCCGCAACACUAAAUUAGGCGCUUCUUGGGAGGCAACCCAAGAUAUUUUAUUGUUUGUAUUUGUAUUAUGUGAUUGACAUCAGAUCUUCACACCCAUGGUGCCACAGGUAUGUUUCUAACUCUCUUGUUUUGGAUUGAAACAUUGGGAACACUGCAUGAUAUUAAGUUGAAGGUGGGGCUACUUGUGGGUGUGAUGUCCUCCUGGGGGUUUUGUUGCUGUGCCUCUUUUCCCUGGAGUCUUGUUCUUAGUAGAGCCGGCAUGUUUAGGCGUAUUGUGUUUGUUUUGUGAUGUAUUAUGGUUAACUAGAGAAAAAUAAGAAUCUAGAGUAGUUGAUAUAGUUUUGUUGAUUUUAAGACUGAUAAACACCUCUCCGUUGGUCUGUUUUAUAACUAUGUGAUAUGCAUUUAUAUGUGGCUUCUAUGAAUCUUUUUAUGGCAUUAAUACUAGGGAUAUGAUAAUCACUACUAACAAUUGCAUGAACCGAAUGAGUAGUAGCUUGUGAUGUACCAUUGUGCCAUGUGUGUGUGAGGUCUUACUCAAUUCCCUGUGUGUGUUGAAUCUAGAACUUGCUCGGUUAGUCUUACCUUGGUUGAAAGAUAGGGGUUAGGAAAGGAUCAUAAGCCGUUUUGAUUUUUAAGUCACUUUUUUUGCCUAAAUGACCUUCCCUGUAUGAAUGAUAUCUCUUGAUCCCUAUUUUAAGCUUGAAUUGACCAUUUCUUUCUAUGAAACCUAUCACCUUCCCAUUUAGAUCAUAAUGAACCUAUUUUAGCCUUGGUUCUUCUUGGAAGCUGUGCAUCUUGACUUAGGUAAACAACCUAAGUUGAGGGAGGUUAUCAUAGGGAUGCAUGAUGUAAACUAGGUAUGAAGAAAGGUAGAAUAAAAGGAAAAGAAUAAGUGAAAAAGAAUAAAAAGCUGGGUGGUGUCGAAGAAGAAUAAGAAAAGAAAAAGAAUGAAAAAGAAAAGCCACAUCCAUCCUGAAUAAUGUGUGAUCAAGAAAAGAAGAAAAAAAGAAAAAGGUUAAUAAGUGAACCCCAAAAGUUAAGGUAAUGCCAAGGAGGCUUAGUCACUCUAAAUGCCAUCGAAUAUCAUACUAGCCCUUAGCCUACAUUACAAGCCAAAGAAAAGACCUAUAGUGAUCCUAACAUACCUGUCUGUACACCUUGGUAAUGAAAAUAAGGUCAAGUAUAUGGUAUUUGACAUGCAUUGAUUGGAAUUUCUUUCUGAGAGUGAGUUUCUCUUGACUGUCCCCGCAUUGACAUGCUUGAGUUCAUAUAUGAGUGAGGAGGGACUUCUUUAUUGAAAGGACACAUCGGUUGCAUUGCUAGCUGUUUACUUGUUUGGGCAGUGUAACUUGUACGUAUGCAUGGUUAUUGUUGCGGAAUUGAUGCCAUAUCUUGAUUCCUUUGGGUCACAUUGUUAAUCUUCAUUGAUAUGCACAAUUGGAUUUAUAAGUAAUUGAACGUGGAGAGUAGCAUGAGUUUUGAGCUAAACUUGAUAAUCAAUUGUGAUAGGUAUCUUAUUUGUCUCUUGGUUAAGCAUCGUAGUAUGGUGUUAUGCAGUUACUUGAGGACAAGCAAUUAUUUUAAGUUGAGGGUGUUGAUGUGCUAGAUUUUUGUAGCAUAUUUAAUACUUUUUAACUUGAAAUAAUUGUAAUUUCUUAAGUAAUUAUUGGUGUUUUUGAUGUUAUUUCUUAAGAUUUUGUAGGAAAGUCAAGAUGCAUGGAAAUAAAUAACAAUGGAGCAAAAGAGCUAAAAUCUAAGCAAAAAGAGCUAAAGACGUAGCUGAAGACAAUCGUGAUAAGUCAUCAGCCAUGUGAUAGGCUACCAGCAUUGGCGUCAGCCUUAACCAAGGAGUUGCAGUCUGAGAAGCAGUUCUGACAACGUUGGUGACGUGGUGUCAAAGUUGUGAUAAGGCGUCAAUAAGGGCAUCAGCCUUAAGAUGAGAAUUAGUAAAAGGAGAAGACAUCUGACCUCGACAAUGAAAUGCCGUCAGAUUCGUGACACGACGUCAGCAACAUCGUAAGCUUUAGACAGAACUUGAAGACAACUAGAGCUAAUCUGAUGCCAUCCAUGAUAAGGCGUCAGACCCUUGAUGUGGCGCCAGCCAGGGCAUCACCUAAUUCGAUAAUUUUAUUUAUUUUGUUAUUUUAUUUCCAUAAUUAAGUUUAGGUGUAAAUAUAAGUUCUGAGGGUUUUAUUCAGGAUCUCUCAAUCUUGUUUUUGGAAUUGGGGAGGAACGUACAUUGCCUCAUCUUUUUCAUCAAGUAUUUUUCUUGUUUUUCCUUCAAAACUUAUCAACUAUUGUGGAUUAUUCUCUUGUGAUUCAAUUGAAGAAACAAUUGUUGUUUUCAUCCAUUCAUAAGUUUAUCCAUACUAUCAUGAAUUCAACUUUUUAUUUCGUCCAUCGAAUCAUAAGCGGCUAAUUCCAUUAGCCCAAGUUAUGGGAUCCAUGGUUUAGGGUUUGAUAUGCUGCUAGGUACUUAAAGGGUUCAAAGAGUAGUAGGACAUCUUAAAAUUCUGUUAUUUUAACUUAAAAUCUAUUGGUUGCAAAAAAUAGGUUAUGCCUUAGGUUUAUUUGCUUGAACAGAGAAAUAGACUAGAGGACGUGAAUUAUCAACAGGGACUCAGAAUCUUAUAACCUUCUGUUUAAUGAUUAAUGUCGUAACGGGAUUAAUCUACCUGAGAUAACAUCCUAUUGGAAAUAGAUAAAUUAUCUAAGUUUGAGAGAAUUAGAUAAUAAAUUGUUUGGUGAGGUCGAGAGAUAAGUCAGAUAGUAUAGUCGUCAGGGAUAUUCUGUUGUUCCUACUUACUUCAAGAGUCUUAAGCAGUACCUAGUAUCUGUCAAUUCUCAAAACCCACAGUAAACAUAACUCUGUUUUUCCAUUUAUAUUUAUUACAAACAUUAAUACUAAAAGUCCAUUUUAUAUUUUUGUAUCAAUUAUUUGAAUUUAACUUGUAGCUAUAAUUUCAAACUAGUUUAAUCUCCACUCACAUUGUUCCCUUUGGAUUCGACCCCGACUCCAAAGUUUGGUAAAUAUAUUGACGAUGAUCACAUUACACUAAUUUGAGGUGUAGGUUGAGUGUUAUCACUAGUCGAUAACUGAUCAUUACUAUAGUAACUCUUCUUAGACCAUUUCUUACCCCACUUGCUACCUUGCUUCCGAUUGACAUCCUGAUCUGUGGACCUAUUACUCUUAGUCUGUCUCUCCACUACCUCUACAUAUUUCUUCUUCUCCUCAUCUACCUAUUUCAUAUACAUCACCAACCUGGAUAUAUCCAGGUCACUAUUCAAUAUCACCCCCUUUCACUCCAUUUCUAAAAUCAUUUGAAAUACUGGAUUCAAACUUCUUCAUAUGAGACCUUAUAUUGAACACCAGUUUUGGAGCAUAGUGGGACGGUUGUGUGAACUUUAGUGCAUACUUUUUGACACUCAUUUUCCCCUGCUUCAUAUUUACGAACUCCUCAACCUCAUCUUACCUCAGCUCCUGAGGGAAAAAAUGAUCAAGAAAAGCAUCAGAAAACUUCUCCCAUACCGUAAGCUCAGCAUUCUCACCUCUCAACUCUUCCUACUUAUCAUACCACUAGUAAGCCACUCCUUUUAACUGAUAAGCUAGAAACUCCACCCCUUUGUAACAUUUGCUUGCAUAACUCUGAAUAUCUUUUCUAUCUCGUCCACAAACUCUUGAGGGUCUUCCUUAUUCUUGGAGUCUAUAAAAGUAAGUGGGUGCAUCCUUAUGAAUUGACCCACCUGACUGACCUUAGAAGAGCCAAUUAUAAAGCCAAUAUUUCUAGACCGAUGAAACUAUAAUGCCAUAAUCUGAGAGCAUAUUGAUGUACUGAUAGAAUUUAGGAUUUGUGACCUCUCUUUGUGGAUAUUAAGUAUGGUUAAUGUCAGUCUUGGGAUCUCAAGAAGGACUAGUUGGCACUUGUAGGACCCUCAGAGUAGCAUUAAAGUCUAAAUUAUGAGCCGUAUCUCAGGUUUGCAUCCCAUGAGUUGGGAAAAUCUCUUCAGCAUUUAUCCCUGUAGGGAAGGAGAUUCUGGUAGAAGAGUUUUGACCAUUGGAUUUUUGGGGAGGCAUGAUCUGAAAUAUGAAAAGUCAGGUGUUAGAUGAAUUUCUUUGUAACUAGACCCUGCAACACAAACUAGAACAUGAAGAAAAGAGAAACAUUUCUAAAUAUCUUAUAGCCUCCCAGUUAUAAGUAUGGCGCGCUACACACCCAUAAAAGAGGCUCUACUCAACACAGCUUCAUAGAUACCCUGAGACCCUAAACCUGGCUCUAAUACCAAUCUUGUCAUAACCCAAGUCGAGGCUCUGGUUGUGACAAGCAUCCUGGACCAUGAAGGACCGAAAGAAACCUUAGCAUACUAUCAUAAGCAUAAUUCAUUCAACAAAAUAUGAAAGAUAUAAUAAAUUAUUCAAGAAUCUUUUAACCAAAUUUUGAAAACAAUGUCAUAACAAAAUGACAACCCAAAUCCAGUCUUUUAAGCCUCUACUAAUGAUUGUCUAUCUAAGUUGGGAUAAGCUCUUCCUACUGGACCAUAAAACUAAAAAAAACUUAAAUAGUUAUAAAGGCUUUUUGGAACAUAGAGUGUUCACAAACUCUAAAUUCUGAGAAAAUCCUACUGCUACAUGGGGCCACAGAACUAAGCUUUAGAACCUACAUUAUGAGAUAAUGCAGCCGUCGGAGGACGGUUAAUACUUGAAAUGUAUUGGUAUGCAAGAAGAUUUAAAAAUAAUAAUAUAUUUCAUAUAAAAUAACCAAAACUCAUGUGCAUUUCUAAAAGCUUCAACAUAUCUCUUAAAGACAUAAUCUUGACUUUUUUCUUUACUUUUGAGCUAGAUAGCAUUCCCGACCUUUCUACUACCCAUGGGAUAUAUGAGUCUGGAUUUAACUCAUUGGCGAACCUCCCAAUUCAAGUUUUCCAUAGGGAUUAAAGUCUCUAUAUUCUAUUCUAGUAUACCAGUGCUUGAGGAAAGUAUACAUUGACCAUCCACAUACCAGGAUUGAGUCAAUUUUCACGCAUUGAUAAAACAAUUGAUAAAACAAUGUAUACCCAAGAUACACUCCAUAUCAUAUAAUUAAACAAUGUAUAAUUUGGCAAAGAAAGAGUUUGAAGCAUCAAUCUUUUCAUUUGUUCACUUAGCAACCCACAUCAAUUUUGAAAUAAUUAUCUCUUAGCAUCAAAAGGGGUUUAUAGUUUAAUCUUUUCAAAGAAUAAUUUUUAAACUCAUAUCAUGAACAUACAUACAUACACAAUAUAAAGUAUUGAAAAAUUUAAUUUUCAAGCCCAUGAGUGUUAGGGUCAUUUGACAUACCUCUUAAUUGAGAGAAGUUGACAUAAUUUGACCUUUAGGGAUAAAUAGUUUUGAACCCUAGAUAGUAUUGUCCUCUCUUACUAUUAGAAUUAUUACUAUAUGAUUUCUAGAGUGUAAAUUCGAUCUUAUGGCCCUACUCACGUAUUUGGAGAAUCGGGAAUGACUUGAGAGUGUGAAAAUGCCUUAAUGCCCUUAAAAUAUUAUAAGAAUGGAAUCAUAUUAAAGAAAAAAGAGGGGGUGUAGCGUAACACCCAUUGCAUAGGGUCAAUCUCAUGGUGUGACCCUCUUCACGAGAGGGAGAUCACACGAUGUUACCCCUAUUGCAAACCAUCAACUUUGCAGUGUGGGCCCCCCUCAUGGGUAAGGCAAUUGCCUAUUGUGGUGGUAUUCGCAACUUGGGGCUGACGCGCAGGGUUUUAUUUACAUUGCACAAGUCAUUUCUAUGCCCAAAAAUGCCCCUAACUCAAUCUAACCCAUCCUAAAGGGUUUUACCUUUGAUCUAGAGGUCUUAUGAGCUCAUUUUAUGCUCUAUUUAAGUGUCAAAAAGUCUGAGGUGUUACAGGGUGUAGGCGUGAGAUCCAUACAAAAUUUGGUCAAUUGAAUUUGGGUACUUUAUCCAAAAUCAAUAGAUAAAUUCAGGACAGGUAUAAUGAUUUUUAUAAUUAAAAUAAAGGGUGAGGUGAAAUUUCUUGGAUGAUCCUUUUGAUUAAUAUUUUUUCCUCAUAAUACUUUGUAAGUUUUUCACAUAAUGUCUCAUAAUUUAGAUGUCUAAACUAUAAUUUUAGAUAUUUGAAUUAUUUUUAUCCAAAUUCCUGCACCCAAACCUCAUGUUUGAAUCCAUAACCCCGAAUCUUAAAAUUUAGAUCCUGAAAGAUCCAACCUUUAGAUCCACGCCCUUAUCUGAUACUCACACCUGAAUCCUAGAACUUAGUAGAUAGUAAGGGAUUCAUUUGUAGGUUCACGAGCACUUGGGCAGGAGCAAAUCCAGUUGUUCAAAACCCGAUUCAUCUGAACACAAUAAUUUUAAUGUGAAGUGUAUAUUGUUAUAUGAAACACAGAAAAGUUCAACAAAUAUUUAUACUCCUUUCACAAUUACUCGUUACUAAUUUUCUAAUUAGAUUUUCACUUAUACUUGUCAUUUUUGACAUAUCAAGAAAAGACAACUUCUUUAUUCUAUUUUAUCCAUAGAAUUAAUUAUUUAUUCUCUAAACUAAUUUUAACACAAAUAGUAAUGAAUCAUCAAUUAAUAAGGGUACUAUUCCACCAACAAACUGAGUCUCUUAUAGUGAAAACCUUUAGUGGACAAAGUGGUAGCAAGAAUUACCUCUUGGACAACAAAAAAACUAUCUUAUGCAAGCAGGGUACAGCUAGUGCAGACAGUGAUUUUUUGAAUUCAAUCUUACUGGGCUCAGAUGUUCAUUAUUCUUGCAAGAUUAUUAAAGAUGAUAGAAGCACAUUGUAGAAGUUAUAUAUGGUUCGGAGUAAGUUCCAUCACCAAAAGGGGCUUUAGUUUAAUGGAAUAGGAUUUGCUUACCUAAAGCUACCGGAGGAUCUAAUAUAAUAUAGAUAAAAAUAAGGAACAAGGUUGUUAUUUCACAGAUAUGUUGGAUAUUAGCUAAUAAAAAGGAUAAACCAUGGAUUCAAUGGAUCCAUAGUUAAUACAUAAAGGAGCGUGAUAUUGAUACUAUGCUAAUUCCCCUACAAGGUUGUUGGAUGGUGAAGAAAUUAUUUCAUGCUAGGGCACAUCUAUCACUUCUUCAGUCUCUCAGAUCUACAGAUAGUAUAAUAAAGAAGAUUUAUAAGAAAUUGCUAGGGGAUUUUUACAAAGUCCUAUGGAAAGGUGUUAUGUAUCACAACUAAGAUCGAUCCAAGGUUAUGUUUGCAAUAUGGCUUCAACUACUAGGUCAUUUACACACCAGAGAUCGACUUAUAAAAUGGGGAAUUUAGGUUGAUGAUAGGCGUACGCUAUGCAAAAGAGAUUUGAAGAAUUGGAAUCACUUGUUUUGGGAGUCAAUAUUUUCAAGACAAGUUUAGUAUAGGUUGUUAUGUUGCAUACAUGUUUGCCAACCCAACAACAUAAAUUGGCCAGCAUUGACUUAAUGGAUCAUCCAAAAAAACAAAUACAGAAGCCACGUGUCUCAGAUGAUGAAACUCUUAUGUGUUGAAUUCAUACGUACAAUUUGGAUUGAGAGAAAAAUCCAAUAUUUUUUAAAAGAAGAAAUAAUAUUCGGAAACACUCGCAAGGCAAAUAGCUUGUAUAAGUACAUGUAGAGCCUAUGGAUGUGUUAGAAGGUUACUUGAUCAAAUUCAAUACUAGUAGAAUCAGAAGAGGGGAAUAGUUAGGGUAAAUUUUAGUAGGAGGGUCUGUGAGUUGGGUUGGUUCUUAGGCAGAGAUUAUUUUUUUCUUUGAGAUAGAGUAGGUUGUGUUAACUUGCUUUGAUUUGUAAAUAUCUUACUUGGUGAUUAAUAAAAUUUCUUAAUUACAAAAAUAAAUCAGGGUACUAUUGUAAAAUAAAUAUUUUAAUAAUUAUUUUUUUAAAGAGUGUGCUAAGUCAAAAAUGUGACAAGUAAAUAUGAAUGGAGGAGUAUUUGGAUCCAUAAUUUUAAAAUUGCCAUAAAUUCAUUGCUAAGAACCUUGAAAGUUUGAAUUUAUUUAUAAGUUGAACCAAGCAUAGCAAGUGUGGGAUCGAAUCAUAUGUAUUGCCUCCAUUUAAAAAAGAGUGACCUAUUUUCACUUGACACGAAAUUUUAAAAAAUAGAGAAGAUUUUUGAAUUUUGUGAUCUUAAAUUCAAGUUAUUACAAAUGUACCAAAAUGUCCUUUAAUCUUAUGGUCUUAAAUAUGCCAUGUGAAAAUUUGAAAUUAAAGUAUUGGGAAAAAAGGAAAGGGGACAUUCUCUCUAAAUGGAUUAGAAAGGAAAACAAGACAUUCUUUUUAAAACAGAGAAUGUAUAUCGUUAAAAAAGACAAAUAUAUAUAGAAAGAAUUUAUUUUAAAACUACUUUCACCAGAAAAACAUAAAGUUCAAAUUCUGGAUCAUUUAAGUCAUGAUAUGAAAAGAUAGUGCAAUCAUUCCUAUUUUCUCUUUGCUUCCUUGGUUGUUUGGCAAGGAACAUCCAAACUUAUUUCCUGAUUAGAUUUUGUAGUACUAUAUUUCUUAGGCUUGGAGUGCUAUACAAAUACCUAGGACAAGUUUUAUGAGAUUCUUUCUUACAUUAUAAGUAGUGGCGAUGCUAGAAUUUGUCGAAGGGGUGACAAAUAUAUUGCAUAGAUGUGUAAUAGUUUUUAUGUCUAUAUACUACAUGCAUGUAUAAUUCCGUUCGCUUCUAUGCUAUGAUUUUUCUUUAUGAAAAUUUUGACUUGGGCAUAAUUGAGCUAGCCCACAAAAUGGUGAAAAUUGUUAAAUUUAGCAAUAGAAGAGAAAGGAGCUCUGAGGGAAUAGAAAAACUAUCUGGUAUCCAAUCAUUAUAAUCUGUUACAAUUGAAAAAAAAAGGUUAAGCUCACCAUAUAUAUACAACCUAAACUUAGCUAAUACUAGUCUAAUCAGUAGUAUCUGUUAACCAUCUAACUAACUAGAACUAAUAAAUAACAUUACAGCUGUCACCAAUUAUGCUCUUCAACUUUAAGUCUUCAACACUCCCCCUUUAGCUAAUGGAUGAAAACAAAUUCUUCAUCCCUGGCUUGUCUACUAAAUAAUUAUGUUGUGGUCGGCAUAGUACAUUUAUUAUAAGGUCCGCAACUUUUUUUUUGGUGCCAAAAUGUUGAGUGAAAAUCAAUCCUUCUUGUAUCUUUUACCUUACAAAAUGAUAGUCAAUGUCUAGAUAUUUAGUUCUUUAAUGAAAGAUAGGAUGUGUUUCUAUCUGUAUAUCUUAUCUUCUAUCACAAAAAAAUUUGUUGGAAGUCUAAUUUAAGCUCCCAACUCCUUAAGUAAUUCGGUUAAUUAGAUAAUCUCUGCUACAGUUGAUGUCAUACUUCUGAAUUUUUCUUCAGUAGAACUUCUGGAGAAUGUCUGUUGUUUCUUUGAUUUCUAGGAUAUCAAGGCACCUCGAAGUUUGACUACAUCUCUUGUAACUAACUUCAUAGACUCUAACCAUGAGCCCCAAUCUUAGUCAUAGUAAGAUACCAGUUGUAACUCACUCUUAGCUAGCAUAAACAGUCCCACACCUACAAUUUCUUUUAAGUAUCUACCUACUCUCAUAACUACUUCCAUAGGUGAUGUUCAAGGAGCACACAUAUGUUGACUGAGGCCUUGUACCAUAAAAGCUAGAUCAUGCCUUGUCAUGGUUAAUUAAAGUAACAUGCUUACAAUUCUUUGAUAAGUGAGUUAGUCCACAAAAUGGUGAAACCAGUUAAAUUUAGCUAUAGAAAAGAAAGGAUCUCUCAGAGAAUAGAGAAAAUAUUUGGUAUUCAAUAUUAUAAUCUGUUACAACCAAAAAAAAGUUAAGCUCACCAUAUAUAUACAACCUAUACUUAGCUAAUACUAGUCUAAUCAUUAGUAGCUUUUAACCAUCUAACUAACUACAAAUAAUUAAAUAACAUUAUAGCUACCACCAGUUAUGCUCAUCAGCUUUAAGUCCUCAACACUCUCUCUUUAGCUAAUAGAUGAAAACAGAUUCUUCAUCUUCAGCUUGUCUACUAAAUAAUCAAUUUGUUGUCAAUAUUGUGCUUUUAUUAUUAGGUCCACGACUUGUUUUUUAGUGCCAAUAUGUUAAGUGAAAAUCAAUUCUGCUUUUAUCUUUUCCCUUACAAAAUGAUAGUCAAUGUCUAGAUAUUUAGUUCUUUUAUGAAAGAUAGGAUGUGUUGCUAUCUUUAUAGCUGAUUUUCUAUCCCAAAAAAAAUUUAUUGGAAGUCUAAUAUCAACUCCCAACUUCUUAAGUAACUCAGUUAACUAGGCAAUCUCUGCUACAGUUGAUGCCAUACUUCUGAAUUUUGCUUCAGCAGAACUUUUGGAGAAUGUCUGUUGUUUCUUUGAUUUCUAGGAUAACAAGGCACCUCUAAGUUUGACUACAUAUCUUGUAACUGACUUCAUAGACCGUAAGCAUGAGCCCCAAUCUGAGUCAUAGUAAACUACCGGUUUCAACUCACUCUUACCUGACACAAACAGUCCCAAACCUAUAAUUUCUUUUAUGUAUCUAGCUACUCUCAUAGCUACUUCUAUAUGUGAAUUUCUAGGUGCAGACAUAUGUUGAUUGAGGCCUUGUACCACAAAAUCAAGAUCAUGACUUGUCAUGGUUAAGUAAAGUAACAUGCCUACAGUUCUUUGAUAAGCGAGCUAGUCCACAAAAUAGUGAAAAUUGUUAAAUUUAGCUAUAGAAGAGAAAGAAGCUCUAAACGAAUAGAUAAAAUAUCUUGUAUUCAAUCAGUAUAAUCUAUUACAAAUGAAAAAAAGUUGAGCUCACCAUAUAUAUACAACCUACACUUAGCUAAUAUUAGUCUAGUCAUUAGUAGUUGUUAACCAUCUAUCUAACAGCAACUAAUUAAAUAACAUUACAGCUUUAACUAGAUAUGCUCUUCAACUCUUAGUCCUCAACACUACCCCUUUAGCUAAUGGAUAAAAAUCGAUUCUUCAUCCCUGGCUUGUCUACUAAAUAAUCAAGUUGUGUUUGACAUAGUGCUUUUAUCCGUAUAUCUUCUACUUGUUUUUUGGUGCCAAUAUAUUGAGUGAAAAUCAAUCUUGCUUGUAUCUUUUCCAUCAUAAAAUGAUAGUCAAUUUAUAGAUAUUUAGUUCUUUCAUGAAUAAUAGGAUGUGUUGCUAUUUGUAUAGCUAAUUUUCUAUCACAAAACAAAUUUGUUGGAAGUUUAAUCUCAUAUCCCAACUCCUUAAGUAAUUUAGUUAACUAGACGAUAACUACUACAGUUGAUACCAUACUUCUAAAUUGUGCUUUAGCAAAAUUUUGGAGAAUAUAUGUUGUUUCCUUGAUUUUUAGGAUAUUAAGGCACUUCUAAGUUUGACUACAUAUCCUGUAAUUGACUUUUUAGACUCUAUACAUGAGCCUCAAUCUGAGUUAUCGUAAGCUGCCAGAUCCAACUCACUCUUAACUAGCAUAAAUAGUCCCAAACCUAUAAAUCCUUUUAUGCAUCAAGCUACUCUCAUAGCUACCUCCAUAUGUGAUGUUCUAAGAGCAUGCAUACAUUGACUGAGGCCUUGUACCAUAUAAUCAAGAUCAUGCCUUGUCAUGGUUAAGUAAAGUAAUAUUCCUAAAACUCUUUGAUAAGCGAGCUAGUCCAAAAAAUGGUGAAAAUUGUUAAAUUUAGCUAUAGAAGAGAAAGAAGCUCUGAGAGAACAGAGAAAAUAUCUGGUACUCAAUCAUUAUAAUAUGUUAUAACUGAAACAAAGUUGAGCUCACAUAUAUAUACAACCUACACUUAGCUAAUACUAGCCUAAUCAUUAGUAGUUGUUAACCAUUUAACUAGAACCGACUAAUUAAAUAAUAUUACAGUUGCAACCAGUUAUGCACUUCAACUCUAAGUCCUUAACACCCCCUUUAGCUAAUGGAUGAAAACAGAUUCUUCAUCUCUGGGUCUAUAAAAUAAACAAGUUGUGGUCGACAUAGUGCUUUAAUCAGUAGGUCUUCUACUUGUUUUUUGCUACCAAUACAUUGAGUGAGAAUCAAUCCUACUUGUGUAUUUUUCCUCACAAAAUGAUAGUCAAUGUUUUGAUAUUUAGUUCUUUCAGGAAAGAUAGGAGUUGUUGCUAUCUGUAUAGCUGAUUUUUCAUCAAAAGACAAUUUGUUAGAAGUCUAAUCUUAGAUCCCAACUCUUUAAGUAAUUCAGUUAACUAGACAAUCUCUGCUACAGUUGAUGCUAUCUUUUGAAUUCUGCUUCAACAGAACUUUCAAAGAAUGUCUGUUGUUUCUUUGAUUACUAGGAUAUCAAGGCACCUCCAAGUUUAACUACAUAUCUUAUAAUUGACUUUUUAGACGCUAAACAUGAGCCCCGAUCUUAGUCAUUGUAAGCCACCAACUUCAACUCACUCUUAGCUAGUAUAAACAACCCCAAACCUAUAAUUCUUUUUAUGUAUCUAGCUACUCUCAUAGCUACCUCCAUAUGUGAUGUUCUAGGAGCACGAAUAUGUUGAAUGAGGACUUGUACCCCAAAAGAAAGAUCAUUCCUUUUCAUGGUUAAGCAAAGUAAAUGCCUAUAAUUUUUUGGUAAGCGAGUUAGUCCAGAAAAUGAUGAAAAUUGUUAAAUUUAGCUAUAGAAAAGAAAGGAUCUCUAAGAGAAUAGAGAAAAUAUCUAGUAUUCAAUCAUUAUAAUCUGUUACAACUUAAAAUAAGUUAAGCUCACCAUAUAUAUAUAUAACUUACACUUAGCUAACACUAGUCUAAUCAUUAGUAGUUGUUAACCAUCUAACUAACUACAACAAAUUAAAUAACAUUACAGCUAUCACCAGUUAUGCUUUUUAGCUCUAAGUCCUCAACACUCCCCUUUUAGCUAAUAGAUAAAAACAUAUUCCUCAUCCCCAGCUUGUCUACUAGAUAAUCAAGUUGUGGUCAACAUAGUGCUUUUAAUAGUAGGCCUGCUAUCACAAAUUUUUUUUGGUGCCAAUAUGUUUAGUGAAAAUCAAUCCUGCGUGUUCUUUUCCCACACAAAAUAAUAGUCAAUGUCUCGAUAUUUAGUUGUUUCACGAAAGAUAGGAUGUGUUGAUAUCUGUAUAUCUUAUUUUCUAUCACAAAAUAAAUUUGUUUGAAGUCUAAUCUCAUCUCCCAACUCCUUAAGUAAUUCAGUUAACUAGAUAAUAUCUGCUAUAGUUGAUGCCAUACUUUUGAAUUUUGCUUUAGUAGAACUUCUAGAGAAUGCCUAUUGUUUCUUUGAUUUUUCAGAUAUCAAGGCACCUUCAAAUUUGACUACAUAUCCUGUAACUAACUUUCUAGACUCUAAAUAUGAGCCCCAAUCUGAGUUAUAGUAAGCUACUAGUUUUAACUCACUCUUAGCUAGCAUAAAUAGUCCCAAACCUAUGAUUCCUUUUAUAUAUCUAGCUAUGCUCAUAGCUACCUCCAUAUGUGAUGUUCUAGGAGCAUGCAUAUGUUGACUAAGGCCUCGUACCAUAAAAGCAUAAUCAGGCCUUGUCAUGGUUAAGUAAAGUAACAUGCCUACAAUUCUUUGAUAAGCUCAUAUAUCAACAAGUGGAGUAUCAUGUUCUGCACCUUCAAGACUAGCAACUUUAUCAGACUUAAGUGAAGUAUGUUUUUAAUUAAGUUCCAUUGGAGUUCUUGCUGUCUUUCCUCUUGUCAAUCCUAGUUUAGAGACUAGUUCAAGAGCAUAUUUUCUUUGGCACAAGUAAAUCCCCUUUUCAAAUUUGGAAAAUUCAAUGCCUAAAAAGUAUCUGAGUUCACCUAAAUCCUUAGCAACCUAUUGACUAUACUCCUUAGCAACCAACCUUUCUUUAUGCUCUCUACCUCUUCUAAAGACUUAUGUUUUAUUUUGAACACCCAUUUGCACACUAUAGGCACUUUCUGUGAAGGUAAAAUCAACAAUUGACCAAGUGUAGUUAUCAGCUAAGGCAUCCAACUCAACUAGCAUGGCUUGAAUCUACAAGGGAUGUUACUAGCCGGGGGAAGGUUAGGUGACAGGAGAUAAAAGAUGCUUUAUAAGAUGGAUAAAGAUACUCAUAAGUAACAUAAUUGGACACUGAUAAGAUCAAGAAACCUUUGUGGAAGGAAUAACAUAAUCAGUCAACCAGAAAAAUAGUUUUAAGAUACCAUGUGGACCUCAUAACCUCAGGAAUAAAAGGUACAAGUGAUGGAAUAGGCUCAGUUCUAGCAGCAUAAAUAGAGGGAAUAUAAGAGAUAAGAGUGGAGUCAUUUAGAAACUAAACCACAGGAAGAAAAAAAGGAUAGCAAAGAAAACAUUGAUUUGAAAGAAAAUAGAUUUUUGAAACACAACGUCUCUAUUGAAAAUAAAUUAUUUAGAGGAUAGAUCAAGUAAAACAUAACCUUUAUGGGGGGAUGAGUAGACCAUGAGUACUAAUGGAAUGGCUCUGGAGAUGAACUUGUCAACCUUGUAAACCCUUGUUGCAUAGUAGAGACUACCAAACACCUUUAGAUAAUCCAAAGAUAGAGGUAUCUGAAAAAACUUCUCAAAGGGAGACUGAACAUGUAGAACACUACUGGGAUGUCUAUUUAAUAAGUAAACAGUUGUUUUCUCACAAUAACCCCAAUGUCUCAAAAGGACAUAGGCUUGAAACCUGAUAGCCCUGGAUAUAUUUAAAAUUGACUUGUGUCUCCUCUCAACUACCUCAUUUUAUUCAGAGGUGUAGAUACAUGAACUCUGAUGCAAAAUACCAUAAUGAUUAAGUAAGCUACAAAAAUUAAAUAAAGAAAUCUGUGCCAUUGUUAGUUUGAAGAUAUUCAAUCACACAGCCAAACUGGUUUUUCACCUGAGCUAAGAAAUCUCUUAGAACAAUCAGUGUAUCUGCUUUAGUGUUUAACAAAAAAAGCCAGAUAUACUUGGGUAAAUCAUCUAGCAGGAUAAUAAAAAACCUUUUUCUAUCAUAUAUGGGCACUCUAUAGGCACUCCAAAUAUCAACAUGCAAUAUAUUAAAAGAAUUAGAUGAAACAGAUAUACUAGUAGGAAAAAAUUGUUUGGAUUGCUUUGCAAGAGGACAGACGGUACACAUAUGCUCUUUCAUAAGUACAUUUUGUAGACCUUGAAUAUUUUUUAAGAACCUAAGAAGUGCAUGACCUGACAUUCUAUGCGAUAAGGUACUAUCAACACUGUUAUUUGCAGAAAUAGUGGUAUUUGUAUGUACUUUACUAGAAAAAUAAACUAAAUUUGAAAAUUUUUAUUUGAGACCAUCCUUUUAUGUGUAUGCCUUCAAGAUAUAAGACCAUCAUCUUCCUCACUAAUUCUUUUCACCUUCCCAGUAGAGAUGUCCUGAAAGAUACAAAAAUAAGAAAAAAUCCAACCAUGCAUUGUAACUCCUUAGUUAUUUUUUACACAAACAGUAGAUUGUAUUUAAGCUCUGGGAUGUAAAAAAUAUUCUGCACAGGUUGAUCCUAAAAUUUACUAGAUUCACCCAUAUGAGUAAUAUCUACUUCCUUUUUUAUUGGUAGUUGCACUUUACUUCCACAUAUUCAAUCUAACCUUUUGACUUUCUUAAGUAGACUAGUAUUGUGAACCAUAUGAUUAGAUUCUCCAGUGUCUAUUAUCCAGUUAGACUAAAUGAGACUAUACAUAUGGGCAGUGAUGUUACCUAUACUGCUUCCACUUGAUGUAGAGCCUAAUGAGAUAACCGUAGAUGUGUUAGCAACUGGUUCAGACAGAUACUCCUUGCCUCUAUUAAGCAUUUGCAAAAUCUGGGAGCAUUGCUCUUUAUAAAAUAAGAGAACGUAUUGUUCUUUAGAAGCUAAUUCAAAGUAUGGAAAAGUAGGUGAGAAAUGAGAGUUUGCAGCAUGAGAAUCAACAUAUCAAGUAUAUGGUUGUUGUUCAUCAGAUAUUGUAUAGCCAAUGUUCACAACAUUGUUUGCAUACAAUCCUGAUUGAUGUCCCUUCUUUUUGAACUUUCAGUCUGAUAAAUAACCAUGUAUCUUUUUGCACACCUUUUUUGUGUGACCUUUGAUCUUACAGUAGUCACAAAAUAAGCCUAAUUUUCCAGUUUUAUUUCUAGGUCUGAACUUACUAUUAUAACCUGAUAAAAAGCUUCUGAAUUUUCACUACUGAUGUUCUAACUAGAAUUAUAAUUGAUGUGAUAGUUGUGAUGAUUUGCACUUUUGUUGCUCAUAAGAGCAGUUGAGUUUCCAAUUUCACUGAGUAUUCCUUCGAUAUUGCUUAGCAUACUUUUCUUUUGACUUUCUACAUUCACAAUCAUGGCAUAAAUUUGAUUAACAUUUGAAAGUGGAUAAAUAAUAAGGAUUUGACUUCUAGAGUGAUCAUAUGACUCAUUUAAACCCAUGAGAAUUUUCCAUAGCUUCUACAUAUGGAAAUGUACAGUGUAAUUCUUUGAUUUAGGCAUGAACAAUUUGGUGGACGGACUAGCACCUCAAAUUCAUCCUAAACCUCUCUCAGUUGAUUGAAAUAAGUAGAAAUAGAUGAUGUUCCUUGUGUGAGUGUAGCUAUUUCCUUGUGAAGAAAGAAUACUCGAGAUGUAUUUACUUUAUUGAAUCUCUCCCUAAGAUCCUUGCAUACUUUUUUGUGAGCAUCAGGUCCAUAGAUUACAGUACUGAUUAGCUUAUUUGAAACUGAGUUUGAAAUCCAUCCUAAUACAAUGGCAUUGCAUCUAUCCCACAGAUCAUGAAGAUUAGAAUUAUAAUUCUCCUUCUUACAAGUGCCUAAAACAAAACCUAGCUUGUUUUUUUUUCUUGUAAAACUAAUUUCAUGGAUUUGCUCCAUAACGAAUAAUUUUUUGAGCCAUGUAGCUUAAUAGAAGUAAGAAUAGAACCUUUAGUAUCUGGAGGAUGCACAUACUGUGGAUGACUAUGAUGUACUUGAUCAUCCUGAUGAGUGCUUUGUUGAUUUUGCUUCUGAGCUAAUAUGGUUUCUUUACUGUUGAAAGCAAUUGAGUUACUUCAAAUUUGGUGAAGGAAUUGAUUUUUACGGUCAAUUUUGUAGUUGAUUGUGUCAAUUUCUACUCUAACCAGUUAUCCCUAAUUUGGAAUUGAAUUUCACAGUGCUGAUGAAGAUUUUGGAUACGCCAGUACUCUGCCUUCUACUUUGGUGAAUUUGGCUCUGAUACUAUGUUAAAUUCAGCCAUGGAAGAGAAAGGAGCUCUAAGAGAAUGGAGAAAAUAUCUAGCAUUCAAUCACUGUAAUCUGUUACAAUUGAAAAGAAGUUAAGCUCAUCACCUAUAUACAACCUACACUUAGCUAAUACUUAUCUAAUCAUUAGUAGUUGUUAACCGUCUAACUAACUCUAACUAAUUAAAUAAUACUACAACUGUCACUAGCUAUGCUCUUUAGCUCUAAGUCCUCAACAAAAAUGGCCAAAGGAUAUGAUGUUAGCGUGAUCAUAAUUUUGUUACUCUUUUUCAAUUACUCUCUUAUUCCUUUUUAAGUGUUCUAUUUUGGUUGGCAUACACCCUUGAAUAAAUCACUUACUCCAAUAAAAAAGUACUUUUAUUAAUAUACCCCUAAUUAAGUUUAGAUUAGGCACACCCCUAAUUCCUUCUUAAUUAAAUGUCUUUGUAAUUUGAACAAGGAUAUAGCAUAAAGAUUUUAACCAAAUUAUUUUUAAAAGAUUAAAAAAGCAUUUAAAAAUGAAAUACAAACACAACUUAAAUAGAUCACUUUUUAGGAGAGAGUAUCUAAUGCACAUGAAACACAGAAAGAAUGUAAAUUUUGUUGAAAAAGGAAAUAUAAGUAGAAGGGGCUAGUUCCUAGAUAAAAGUUUGUUCUUAGAAACUCAGUGCCACUUCUUCCUUCAAUGAGCUUUCUUUCGUGGGAGAACUGCGUUAUAUGGCCGUCCAUUAAAAUAUGAGCAAGCAAAUAUAUAUUUUUAAAUAUAUUAUUAUAUAAUAUAUAUUUUUAAAUAUAAAUAUUGUAUUUUAUAAUCUAUUUAAAUAAUAAAUAUAAUUAUUUUGAUUAAUCGAUAAAAUAUGUAACUUGCUCUUAUUUCUUUGUGUUUUUCUCUUGACAGAAGAGAUGAAAGAUUCCUUUCUUUUUCUCUUUUCGAGAAAGAAACUGACAUUUUUAUCUUUCCGGAUUUAGGCAAGUCAAAGGAUGCCUCUUUCUAUUUGGAUUUCUAUUGCAGCAAUUAACAGUUGGAUUUAGGCAGUGUGGUAAGAAUUUUGUGGUGUCUAUUUAUUAUCACAAAUUCUGACUUGUAUGUUAGCUUGAAUUUGGUUUAUAAUCUUUUGGAGAUUCUAGAAUUAUACUUGUCUCCAAUUAUUGUUUAGUAUUUUGUAUUACGCUGAAGUACUGUGUCAAUUUUAAGUGCAAGGAUACUUGAUUUUCAGAUUAUCAUUUAAGUUAUACUUGUGAGCAGUAAAAACUUGAAAAAUCUAUCCAUUUUAAAACAAUUUCAAGAUAUGUGACGUUUGAAGUAGCCUUUGUCAAGCUAAGUAUAACUGUAGAGAAAAGAAAUAUUUAAAAGUUUAUAUGAUUGAAGUUCGGACAAAUUAUCAAAUCUUACCUCAAAUAUUAUUUGUUUAACCUAAUUCAAAGUAAACAAACAUGCAAAAAUUUGAAAAGUAAGUACAAACUAAAUAAUAGUGUUCAAAUAGGAUAGUCUUGAAAUGUUUACCACAAAAUGCUUUAAGAAAGUUGAUAUCUAGUUAAUCUAGACAGCCAUUAUAAAUGGAUGUUUACAUAUUAUGUCCAUAAGGGUUGUUUAAUAGGAUGUAUUACAGAAAAUAAUAUAUACUUUCGUAACAUUAUUCAGUUUUUUUUUUUGGUAGUUAGGAUUUUUAUCAAUGCAUAUAUUAUAUAUAUACUCAUUUAAUAUUAUAGGAUGUAUAAUUAAUACAUAGUAAUAUAAGGGUCGGUAGUACAUAGGAUAAGUACGGUUGAAGAUAGAACUAUCUUUAAUAUACGCUAAACCAUACAACAAAUAAAAAAUAAUCUCAACACUACUGAAAUUUAUAAGUCUGAAGCUCAGACAAUUUUACUUAAUUUCAGACAUAAAUAUUUAAAUUUUAACUAUGUAUAAUUUUAAACAUUUAAUCAAGCCUAACAUCAAGCACUAUCUAUCCAAAGUUGUUUUGAAGUAAAGAAACGUGCAAGAAUUUUAGAAAAAGUAAGUACAUCUUAAAUAAUAGUGUAUAAAUAGGUACUCUUGAAAUGCUUGCCACAAAAUGCUCCAAGGAAAGUCGAUAUCUAGUUAAUCAAAAGAGCCACUUUCAAUGCAGGUUUACACAUUAUGUUCGAAGUGGUUUGUAGAAUAAAUUAGAGAAAAUAAUAAAUAUGUUAAUUGUGGGAUUAUUUAAUUUUAUGUUUGGUAGAAUUCUCAGCCAUUAAUACAUAUAUUAAUUAUCAUACACUCAUCGGUCUUAUUGUAUAACUAGCCAAUACAUAGCAACACAAAGACUAUUAAUGCAUGAAUAAGUAUGAUUAAAAAUAGAAUUAUUCUUACAGAUCGUUUAGCAGCUGGUUAGAUUUAUGCUAAUAGUAAAAAAAUAUAUGGAUUGAUCAUGAGUGAAUUUACGUAUUAUUUUAUAUAAAGAUUAAUUUGCAGGAUUUGCUUUUUCAUGUAUUACUUAUUCCACCUUCUAUCCUGCAUAAAAAUAAGUAAUACAUAGAUUACCUCACAACUUAUACAUGUAUUAGUUAUGAGGAUUUCUAAAUUACAAAAAAAAAAAAAAAAAAAAAAACAUCAUAUUAAUUUUAUACAUGAAUAUAAUUUGCCUCUCAACCAGCUACCAAACAUCGUUUCACUUAUGCAAGAUUUAAUAUCUGAGUAACUUUUUCUCAAACCAGCUACCAAACGACCACUUAAUACACCAAAUCAAACAAUAAAUAAAAAAUACUCUCGGCAUUACUAGUAUACAUUAUUCAGUGUUAUUGUUAUUCUUAUUCUUAUGGCUCUAUCAAAGGACCUAUGUUAUCUAAUAUUGCACUUAAGAUUCUCAAAAUCAAUUCUAAUUCUAAAUAGAAAAUGGUCAAUUUAAGGUUGUUAGAGGUAUUAAUGGAUGUUUAAAAUAUGUCCUUGUACUGCUGCCGACAGUGAUGUAGUUAUCUCAAUGUUAGUGAAUGCUCUACCGAAUCUGACCCUCUCCUCCUGACAUUCCAGCUGUUUUGAUUUUUAAACUACAGAUUUAACUAUAUAUACAUUGACCAAAAAAAAAGUAAUAAUUAUUGGGUAAUUUCUGAUCAGUUUUUCCAAAUUUUCUAUGUUUAUGCAGAUACGAAAUAUAUAAACUUACAUCUUCAAGCUUAGUCAUCUUUCUAAUCCAACCUUUACUAUCAAACACAAUAAUAAAUUGAGUUAAUUUGUCAAUUAUAAAUUAAGAGAUGAUUAGGUUGAAGAAGAGACACAGUGAAAGUGACCUAUCUUUUCAAAUUAAUUAUAUGCAAUAUAAGUCAAUUCACAUUAAAGCUUGGGGUGGGUUGUUCCACAACUUAGGAAACUAUUCCCUGAUGCUCUCACACAACAAUAAAACAAAGGAUACAAAAUUUUUAUGUGGAAACUCCUUGCUCAAGGGAGAAAAAUCACGAUCUGCCUCAAGGAUUUCUAAACUCCACUAUAUCCAAGCAACUUCUUGAAUCAGACUCCAAGGAUUAACCUCCUAAUCCUUUGUUUCCUAGCAAUAACUCUAUUACAAGGAAACUCAAGCAGUAACUCUAUUGCUUCAACCCCAGCUAACUCUAACUAGCAACACAAGCUAACUUUAGCUUGACACAAUCAUCUAACUCUAGAUAAUUAGAGAAUGAAGGUUUGCACCUCAACACCUACUACAAUCAUAAGCUAAUGUAGGCGGACUUUUAAGAACAAUGUUACAAAGACACAAUUGCAACAAAGAAAUAAAAAUGCAACUCUAUGAGCAAACCUUUCCUUGUUGCAGCUGCAGCCUUUAAUUUUGCACUUCAGAGAUAUAUUUAAUUAUGAGUAUAUAGAAGUGUUGGUUUUCUUGUUAAGGAAGAUGCACAAUAUAUAUUAUGACACAAGAAAACCUAAGGAAAGAUCUCAUUGGUUGAGGCAAAAAGGUGGCAGCAGCUUUUCACCAACUUUUGUACUUUGUGUCAACUGAACUGUUGAUUGUGACAGCUACAGGUAGGGGUGUACAGACUAAACCUUCAAGUCAAACCAAAUCGAAGAACCAAACCAAACCGAGAAAAUAAACCAACUUAUGGUUUGGUUUGGUUGGUUUAGCGUUUGAAAAAAAAAAAACGACCAUUCUUGGUUUGGUUUGGUGUUAAUUUAAAAAAAAUCAAACCGACAUAAUAUAUAUAGAGAGAGAGAGAAAGAGAGAGAGAGAGAUGGAGAAAGAGAGAGA